UCACAAUAAAUCUAUUGUUGGCAAAGGUACUGUUUGGUAUGAGUUGUCAUAUGAAGAUGCCAUCAAGGAGCAGAUGCAGAUGGAGGCCCAAGGAUUUGUGCGGGAGUUGUAUGAUAAAGAUUCUGACAGCGACCAAGUGAAUACAGAUGAUGAAGAUGACGAGGAAGACUUCGAUUACAGCAUCCUAGGCGACCCAAGUGAAAAUACAACCAACCAACCUUAUGUCAAUGGAACUGAAUCUUCUCAGCUAUCAGAUGAAGGAAUGUUUGAAGAUUAAGUGACAACUAAGAAACUGAUCAGCAGCAAUACUGUAUUGAUAGUUUGUACAGCUAGUACAUUAAACGGAUGCAAUUUUCAUAGAGUUUUUCCUUAUGGGGGUUUGAUUUUGUUGCAUCUUUAGAAAUGUAUUUGUUCUGUGCCUUAGUAGAAAAGAAACAAUUUUGUACACUUAACAACCAGUUGGUUUUGUUAUCUUCAUAUUUUUGGUUCCUAAAAGUUAUGAGUGGAGUUUCAUAAUAUUAUUUACCUUAUCAGAAAAAAAGUUAUUGGUGCAGUUUCUUGAUGGAUUAUUGUAUUGCAAGCUAUUUGGCUGAUGCUUGAAGAGUUAUAUGUUCAACAUAAUCAGUCAUUUUUCUUUCAACCUAUAUUUCGUUUUCACCUGUUGAUGGCCAAUGUUACUAACAUUUGAAGCAAUUCAAGUGGUGGGGUAAGUUAGCACUAAUGAAAAUUUUCCAUUCUUAACUAAACAUAUUGUGUUAGAUAGUUAGAACCUCGAGUUAGUUUUGAUAAUGAAAAAAAAUCUUAAUAGGAAAUGUUUUCCCUUCGAAUCAACCAAUGAGAAAUAAAUCCCAGAUGAUUAUACAUUUGGGACGUUGGUGCUCUUGCCGUCCAAAAAUUAGAGCAUAUAUGUGAAGAUGCCAUCAAGGAGCAGAUGCAGAUGGAGGCCCAAGGAUUUGUGCGGGAGUUGUAUGAUAAAGAUUCUGACAGCGACCAAGUGAAUACAGAUGAUGAAGAUGACGAGGAAGACUUCGAUUACAGCAUCCUAGGCGACCCAAGUGAAAAUACAACCAACCAACCUUAUGUCAAUGGAACUGAAUCUUCUCAGCUAUCAGAUGAAGGAAUGUUUGAAGAUUAAGUGACAACUAAGAAACUGAUCAGCAGCAAUACUGUAUUGAUAGUUUGUACAGCUAGUACAUUAAACGGAUGCAAUUUUCAUAGAGUUUUUCCUUAUGGGGGUUUGAUUUUGUUGCAUCUUUAGAAAUGUAUUUGUUCUGUGCCUUAGUAGAAAAGAAACAAUUUUGUACACUUAACAACCAGUUGGUUUUGUUAUCUUCAUAUUUUUGGUUCCUAAAAGUUAUGAGUGGAGUUUCAUAAUAUUAUUUACCUUAUCAGAAAAAAAGUUAUUGGUGCAGUUUCUUGAUGGAUUAUUGUAUUGCAAGCUAUUUGGCUGAUGCUUGAAGAGUUAUAUGUUCAACAUAAUCAGUCAUUUUUCUUUCAACCUAUAUUUCGUUUUCACCUGUUGAUGGCCAAUGUUACUAACAUUUGAAGCAAUUCAAGUGGUGGGGUAAGUUAGCACUAAUGAAAAUUUUCCAUUCUUAACUAAACAUAUUGUGUUAGAUAGUUAGAACCUCGAGUUAGUUUUGAUAAUGAAAAAAAAUCUUAAUAGGAAAUGUUUUCCCUUCGAAUCAACCAAUGAGAAAUAAAUCCCAGAUGAUUAUACAUUUGGGACGUUGGUGCUCUUGCCGUCCAAAAAUUAGAGCAUAUAUGCCUUUUAUACUAACGGACAUACACGUGUCAUAAUCUUAUCCGUUGACCCGAUAUUUAUUAAAUAUCGGAUCGACGGAUAAGAUUGCGCCACGUGUCCCUAUUUAGUCUUCCGUUAGAGUGAAGGGGAUAUAUGCUCUAGUUUUUAGACGGCAGGGGCAUCAAUGUCCCAAAAGUAUAACGGAGGGUAUGUACAUACCAUUUACGAUAGUUCUGAGGUAUAUUUAUCAUUUUCCCCUUUAUAUAUAUAUAUAUAUAUAUAUAUAUUAAAAAGUACCAAAUCUCACUUACUAUAUUUAUCAGUUGAAAAUAGAUCUUAUACAAGAUAAAAUAUUCAUUUUAUCUUUUUAAUUCUUUAAAAGUAGAUCUCAUGCUAGAUAUAAUCAUUAUUUUCCUAAUAUUAAGAAUUUUAAAAUCCCACCAAUUAACUAUAUAGAGAUUCUCCAAAUUAUGCAUACCAACAAAAGAACUUAUUACUUUUUAAGCUUUACUACCCCAUCUCAAUUUUGUAAAAUAUAAUGAAUUAGUGUGUGUUGAUCUAAUUGAUUAUAUGUCCAUUAAUUGGCAUUAUUAUUGUUUUUUCAAUUAACAUUAUAAUUUAAACUAUAGAAAAAAUAGUUACCAACCAAUUCUUUUAAUGUAAGUAAGAAAAAAGAACUUAGAUGUCUCAGUCAAAGCAGAAUAUAUAAUGUCGUUAUUAAAAUUAAUUGAGAUGUUACCUUACAUAAAUUAUUUCCUUAAUUAAAUUAUAUAUGAUUUUGUGAAACAAAGAUAAAUUCAGUGUGUGUUUUAAAAAAAAUGAAUUAAAAAUAUUAAUAGAUUCUGUAAUUUUAUUGUUUGAUAUUUAAAAGGAAGUGCAAAAUCUAUUUGACUAGAGCAAAUCACUUAAUUAUUAUUUUUCGGUAAAGCGUAAGAUUUUAUUGCUUGCAAUUGGAUCUUGAGUGUCGAUCUAACAAAAAAAUCAAUUAUUGUCAUUUUUUUUAUUCGAUGGAAAAUUGAUCUUUUGUUUAUGGUGUAAGGAUCGGCAAUAACUCCUUUUAAAAAGAAUUGAUCGUCUACGGCUUUGAUUACCUUCAUUGGUGCUUUCAAUCAACUCAAACAAUAGGCCAGGAAGGACAAGCUUGAAGCCUUGAAGGCUUGUUAAGUGAACGAAGUGAGAGGGUGGAUGUAAUUCAGCUCGAACGAAGUGAGAGGGCUGAAAAGCAAGCUCAGCCUAGAGGGAGAGGGAGGUCAUUCAGACCCCGCUGGCUCUAGAACGGGGCAGCUCCAGAGGCGCUGCCGCAGGCGCCAGCACCGACAUAAAGUAUUUUUAGAUUAAAGGAAAACACGCUCCACAAUAACUAGAUUUUCAGCUUUGACAAUUAUUCCCCCAACUUCUUGAAUUUUGUGUCGUUGUAUGAUGCUAGCAUACAUCUUUGUUGUAUAAUAGAAGAAGCAUUAAUAUAUUUAUUGAAUCGGUCAAAAUCAAAUAUGUUUAUCCAACUUUCAAUUGCUAAAGACAUUUCUUUCAAUUGAGGAACAUUUUAAAUAAAAUUAUGAAGGAUAUUUCAAUAGUAAUAAAAAAAAGUUGGAGGGGAUCGAUAUAUAUUGUUUACACUAAUUAGAAGAUGCAUAAAUGCUAGAGCUGAAUUGGAGAAGUAUGAAAAAUAUUUCACAAUAUAUUUAACAAAAAAUAGAUUAUACUCUUAUAGAAGUAUAUAAUGCAUAUUGAUUGUGUUGCUUCUUUGGUUAAAAAACACGUGUUUUCAAUAACAAUGACAUCAUUUUGAUAGAAUAUACGGAAACAAUAAUGAUAAUUCACAUUAAGGUAAGAGGUGAGCAUAAAUUUAGCUUUUUUAGAAAAAAUACUAGAACAUUCUUUUUUCUUUAAAUUGUAGAAGGCCUUAAAAUUGAAAUUACAUUCAAUCUUUUUGUCUACUAUUAUUGUCAAAUGGAAUUAACUUUAAAAAAAUAUUUUUUUUUUCUAAUGUGAAAUUAUUUUAAACGAGUAAAAAUAUUAACUAAUAUUUUAUACAUUGUGAUAUGAAUAGGAAAAUGACGCAUUUAUAUAUUUGAUCAUGUGUAAAUAAAGUAUUUUAGAAAGAAAUCAUAACUAAAAUAAAAUGAAAAUCAAGCUAAAGAUUUAUAAAGAUGAAAUAAUUGUCUAAGUUUGAUUAUGUAUGAGAGCUUACUAAAAUAUAAAUAGGAUAAGGGUACAAAUUUUAGCAUUCUGGGAAAAUGAACAAAAUAUGGAUGAAUCUUUUUUUUAGCUAAUUAAUAAAUUAUCAGAUACAAUAUCUGUAAUAAAAUAGUACUAAUAUACAUGCAAUGCACGAGUAAAUGCUAAUGCACAGUUGAGCUAUCUUUAACCAGAUCAAAAACUAUGUACGUCUUACUUUUAUAUUAUAAACCAAAUAUUAAAACAAAUUAAAACAUUUAUCAUUUUACAACUUGUAAUUUUGUUUUUUAUAUUACAACACAAAUACAUAUUUUAAAACUUUGUUUUUAUUAAUACGAGAGAUUAAUCAAUUCAUCCCGAUCUUAAAUAAGUUUUGGGGUUCAACCAAAUACUCUGUAUCCAUUACUAAUAUAUUUUGUUAUUUAGGUUUAACAUUACACCUACUAAUUAAUGAUUCAUAAGAUUCUGUAAAUAAUUGUAACGUAAUUAAUUAACAAAGCCCCAAAAUUAGCUUAGUUGUAAACAGAGGAUUUUCCCUUGAUUUCAUCGGAGAAUUUGCAAAUUAAAACAACAGCCAUUGAUCUCAUCUCCGUUCAAUGGCUUCUCUCGCCUUCAAUUCCGUCGCCACCACCAAAUCCGGCGUCCGCCACCAACUGGCGCAUCUCCGUCUUCUCUCUUAUCCUUCAGUUUCCUUGAAAUGCCGAUGGUCAUAGUCCUUUGCUCGUGCCUUUUCAGGUAUAUCACUUUACAAUCCUUUCCUUUUAUCAUCCGCUGCUAAACUUGUAACUGUUUUCUGUGUGUGCUGGGGGAUAACGAGGUAGUUAUAUGAUCAGGUGUAAGAGCUCAGGUGGAGAGUACUGAGCAAGCUGGAGUUGAUGUGGAAGCUCCUGUUGUGGUUAUUACAGGAGCUUCUAGAGGAAUUGGGAGGGCUGUUGCUUUAGCUUUGGGAAAAGCUGGUUGCAAGGUCAUCCAUUCAGAUACUUUGUCUUUAUUUAGUUAAAAUAGCCUUAUGGUUUGGAUCAUUGUUAUCGAUUAGAUAAUUGUUGACUGUUUGGCCUUCAAUUCGUGAGUAAAUUUGUCGAUUUUGAUAGAUUAGGACUUUUUACUACCAAAAUGAAAAGGAAACUUAUAUUGCCUGGAUGAUAAGCUUUCUUUGAUACGUCAUGGUUUACUGGGAAACCCUGUGAUUUUCUUGUUCAACAGCAUCAAUUUUUAUAAAUAGAAAUAAUAAAGAGCAGUUUCAUUUUUAAGAUGCAGUGGUGGUUGCUUAAGUUGUAUUUUUUGGGCAAUAGCUCAAAAAGGAAGUAUUUGAAGUAUCUAUAUUUGUUUUUGUUCCCCCAAAUUCGCUUUUUGGCAGUGAUAUGAAGUAAUCUGGGGUUCAACUUGGAUAAUUUCAUGGUUAUUGUUAACCCUUUGCUUGAAUGUCCUUUUUCUGGUCUAUUUUUUCCACUGCUUUCACCUUUCAGUGAGACAUUUUAACCCAGGGCCCAGCCAAGUUCAUCAUUUCGUCUCAUUAUUCGUCUUUGAAGGUGGUAUAGGAUGCUCUGAGUUCCAAUAUCCUUAGAAACCUUGAAUAAUGCUUUAGGCCUGAGCUGUAUGUUAUGUUAUAUGUUCUCUUUAAAGAAUAUGCUUUAAAUCAAAAUUUAUGUUACAUCAUAUGUAUACCUGAGAAAUCUCUCACAUACUCUUUCAACCCACUUGAUAUUUGUUGUUAGGUCCUAGUGAAUUAUGCGAGAUCUUCAAAGGAGGCAGAAGAAGUUUCCAAAGAGGUGUGUUUCUUUUCUCAGUCGAAAUCUGGUGUGAUUUUGUUAUCUUACUAAAUUCCUCCAAUUCCAUGUGAUAUAUUUCCUUUUUGUGGUUGAAAGUUGAGACCAUGGAACUGUAUUUCUGACUUAAGAAUGAUGUUCGAAAGAGUAUUCUAGCACUUCUUUCACCAUUCCUAGUGCUGAAUGGUUCAUAUUGACGGUGGAUUUUUUUUCUUUUAGGGAGAAAACGAGUUGAGAGACCACAUUAAACAAAUGUCAUCUGCUAGCAAAAAUCAAUUUUAUAAGUUGGAUCUCUACCACGCCCCAAAACGGGAUGAGACGUGACCCGCACCUGAUACAUGCAAUUGGACUGAGCAAACUUUUUUUUUUAUAACCAUGGUGUGCAGCCCAGCUUGCACGCAACUCGACUAAUUCCUUGGGAUACUUGUCACCUUCCACCAGCAAUAGGUACUAAGUAACUUUGUCCAUCAAGGUACCUGUUGUUGGUGGGAGGUAUCUUGUAGAAUUAGUCGAGGUGCAUGCAAGCUGCUCCAGACACCACGGUUAUAAAAAAGAAAAGUAGAGAAUGUGUGGAAUCCUAGCUCACACAUGGACCGCCAUACUUACCCAAUACAUGGCCCUAACAUCAUGAACACAAUGCUGCCUGAGUAUUGGAAUACUCAGUAUACAUCAUAGCCACGAAACUCAUGGUGAGGCAAGAGUUAUGCAUAAUAAAAUAUUGAGUGCAAGAAAAAGAUAAAUCAAUUAUGCAAUUUAAUUUAUCAAAACAUAAAUGUAUACAUUUGAAUCCACUCAAGCAUUUAAAGUAGUCAUAAAUCUUUCAUGGCAAGAUUAGAAUUGAUCAAUUUUAGCAACAAUACACAUUCUUCCACAUGUGUUACAAUGUUACGAUAAUAUAGCACAAUCUUCCCAUGUAUGUUCCACUAGAAUUAUUACGAUCAUUAAAGUGUGACAAGCAUUGUGUUAAUUUGUAGUCUCAAUGUCCAUAACGUAGGAGUCUCAUAACUAUCGUGAUGUAAUGCAUCGAGAUACCAUCCUCGAAGUGUGACGUACCCUCCCCGCCAGAUAGACUAGAUGAAAUCAAUGAUGUAAUGCAUCGGAAUAUCAUCGUAGAAGUCUGAUGUACUCUCCUCGCUCGAUAGGCUAUAUGUAAUGCAUCAAGGAUCCAAGAAGUUCGAUCUACUCUCCUGACCUGAUAGGCUAAGUUGCUCGUACUCGGGUGCGGAUAUCCGAUGUGGAUGCGAAUCCGACCCUCGGAUUCGGCAAAAUCUAAAUUUUAAGAUUCGGGGGUAUGGAUCCAGAUAUGGAUACAUGUGUUGGGAUUCGGCUAAAAAUCCAAAAUUAUAAAAUAGAGUUGUAAAGAUAUACUAAAUUAUGAUAGAUUUUCUACAUUUUCUCUCCCAAGACUACCAACUUCUUCUUUCAAGCUCUUUGGUUCUUCCCCUAAAAAAAGAAAAAGAAAGCCAAUCAAGAUCUUCCACCAACUCUCCUUACAGACCAUUGCUACUGUCUACCAAAAGUCGGAACACAACCGCUUGAAUUCUUAGCUUCUUUUUGUUUGGCUUGAAACAUGACACAACGAAUAUUGACCAAGAGGAAAAGCUAAAAAAGAGAUAAAAGGACUAUAAUAUUAAAGGUAUGUCAUUGCUCAUGUCUUUUGUUAAGAAGUCCCACAUCGGUAGAGGGAUGGGAAUAAAUGAGCAAUUCACUAUAUAUAAAUAUGAGAGUACAAAAUAUAGAGAGAAACAACCUCAACCAAUUUACUUGGAAUACAUGAGAGGUUCACACAAGUAGUAACAUAUCACUUGUGACCCACAAAUUCUCCCCCUAACCUAAACUCUCAAAGCCCCUAGGACUACAUUGUGAAUGUUGAUUAAGUUAGAAGGAACAAGCCUCUAUUUAUAGAGUCCUAAACCUUUUCCUACAAGAAAAGGACUACCCACUCCUAAACCUUUUCCUAAAAGGAAAACCUAUUUAUGGUAAGAAACUUUGGGCAAAUAAAACCCAACAACUUUCCCCCUUGGCCUGAAUUUCUGACAAAAUAAAUUUGUCCACCUUCUUCACUUAAUCUUUAACAGCUUGCAUCUCCUCUCCAUAAUCUCCUCUGCAGAAUCUAUGUGUCUACACAGAGAACCUCUCUGAAAUAAUUUCUCCAACAAAAAUCUUCAUUACUGUCAAAAAGGUGCGGCUAGAACUACACCCGCUAAGAUGAACACCCAAUUUUUAACUUGGUUCAUUAAUCGAUUAUCGAACCAUUGAACCUGACUCCAUCAUUGAAUCUGGCUCUGAUACCACUUGUUAAAUUAGGUCUUAGGCCUAACUCACACCCCAAAAGCUAGCUCAAAGGGAGGAGGAUUGCCCAAGCCUUAUAAGGAGCCCACCCAUCUCAUUAACCACCAAUGUGAGACGUUUGUCAUUCUUUAACAUCUUUAAAUCUAUUUUAUCUUUUAUCAAAAUUUCAAAUUUCCCCCAAAUUCGUCCAUGAACUCUGGUCAAAGUAUCCAAUGUGGGUUGACAGAAUCCCACACGUAUCCGGCACCUGCACCAGUCUUGAGUUGACACAGGUGCGGCAGCAAAAAUGAAGAGUCCGCGCAACUUUGCUGAUAAGCAUAAAUACAUUGUCAUUUUUUCAAAAUCAUGGCUUGUAACUGAAACUCAUUUUCUGUAAUGCAUUAAGAUCCAAGAAGUUACUCUCCCGGCGAGAUAGGUAAUGCAUAAUUGUGAUUAUAUAUUCCAUUUUAUGUCAUGACAUUUUAGCCUAAUAUCCUUUCUUAAUUAAGUAGCAAUUUUCAUAUAUUCAAUGAAUAUCAAGAAAAAGGAGUACAAUGCUAUAAUCGGAAAUAUGCCAAGAAUCAUAUCAAUACAAACACGUCAUGAACAACAUUGUAGAUAGUAUGAUGUGCCACACAAUACUGUAAAGAUUGUAUAAGAGCCAUAGACACUUUUAUAUAAUUCAAGACUUAACCAUGUAGGUGCAUUUAUCAAUACUAAGGCCUAAGUCCCAAAAAUUCAAGGAAAAAAAAUAUUCUUCCAUUGGAGAUUGAUUCUUGUGUUUUAACUCUAAUCUAUUUCUUAAAUGUCUUAUGGAGUGUAGUCGCUUUAUUUUGAACUCAAAGCGACACAAUCCAUAUCCACCCAUUAUUCAUCAUCUCUUCUCCGAAAAUGAUAAUUUUCAUGAUCCAUUUCUAGGGUUCCUUCAAUAACUCAUUCCAGUUACAAAUAGUACUCAAAUCAUCCUCUUAACCCAAUACUUAUACCCAAUAGCUAUACUCUGAGGAAGGAAAGAGAAUACUUCAGUAACACCAUAAAGUUGGAAUGUAUUUGGGAUCUAGUUUUCAAAGCAUUUCUGGUAGGUGACUUAGAAAUAGUAACAUUAGCAGUGUAUGGCUGCAGGAGUGCAGCUGUAUAACACAUAAAAAAUUAUGGUUAAUCUUUUCAAAUGCUUACUGUUAUUUAUUAUUCUACUUUUGAUAACUGAAAUAUCAUUAUGUAAUUUUCCUAGAUGGUAAUUUAUUAAAAAAAAGAAAAAGUAACAACUGUUUGUGUAGACUGCACUUGGUCUCCUACCAACUCUUAGGGGUCGUUUGGUGUGAAGGAUAACACCAAAUAGUCCUGAGAUUUAAUUAUAGUGUCACUUAAUUUGUUGUUUGGUUGGCAAGUCUAGGAUAACUUAUCCCGGGAUAUAUAAUUAGUACUGGGAUAAGUUAUCCCUCCCCUUGGGUGACAAAAUAAGUAAAUGACAAAAAUAUCUCUUUAAACCCUAUUUAUACAUCACUUUUCACAUUCAUGAAGGGUAUUUUUGUAAACAAAUAAAUUCUUCUUAAAAUUUAUUAUUUUGAAUACAACAAACCAAACCCUCAAUAAAAAAUAAUAUUAGCAUAACUAAUCCCAUCAUAACUUGAAUUCAAACCAAACGAUUCCUUAAACUCUUCUCCAUGUCUUGAAGCAUCCACUUGACCUGUUCUUUCCAUAUAGUUCAAAAAAGGCGUCUCGCUUGCUAUAAUCUCUAGCAUUCUCUUUGAGAGUGCCUAAUAAAUGUCAAAUAAGGAGGAUACCAUUUCCCAAGGCUGUGAAGUUGCUCUAAAAUGUAACAGCAAUUAAUCGUCAUCUUUCCCUCUCAACUUUGAUUCUCUGAGAAAGGAGUUCUGUUUAAUAGUGGUCUUCAAUUCUCCAUCUUAGAGUACAACUUAUGGUAGCACUGGGUUAUGUCUUCUCUAAUCCCCUCUUCGCUGGAAGUUCAUGGCCAUCAUUGAUUCUUUCUUAUACGAUUGUAUCCCCUGUAAACAUUGGCCAUUGUUAUCUCCUUUUUUGCCAGGUGCUUGUGAUCUUUAUCUCAGAAUCACUUCUUGUGCUACAAGUAACUUUCCCAGCUGACCUUUCAAUUCUUCUCUUUGAAUUUUAUCAGCUUUUGAUAUUGUUUAAUUAAUAUCUUUUCUACCCCCCCCCCCCCCACCCAANNNNNNNNNNNNNNNNNNNNNNNNNNNNNNNNNNNNNNNNNNNNNNNNNNNNNNNNNNNNNNNNNNNNNNNNNNNNNNNNNNNNNNNNNNNNNNNNNNNNNNNNNNNNNNNNNNUUGCUUUUGGUUUUUUUUAAAUUAUUUCCUUUUUCCCCCCCCCCCCCCCCUCCAAUUCAAAGAGCAAAUCUGACAUGGUAAUUUCCACUUAUCACCAACUUGUGGCAUGGUCUGUUCGCUACCUCUUUCAUACAAUUCUUGACCAUCUUUUUGAAGUUCUCAUGGUGUAGUCACAUGUUUAAAUAUGAAAGGAAACAGUACCUCAUACAUCAACAGCAACCUAGUAUAUUAUUGGACUGUUAUUUGAUAUCGAUCUUGGCAGGGUUUGCUUACUUGAGCUCUAUAAUUUCUCCUCAUUUCAUGGAUAUCAACACCUUAUCCAUUAGGUAAGCAUAGGAGAUAUCUGAUCUGGUCCUGGUUGAUGAAACCAGAGAAUUCAAUCAAUACUAUAGAUGUUUCCUUAGCAAAUUUCUUUGCUCCAAUCCAUAUCUUAGUACAGUAAGAUCAUCUGCAAUCACCAAGGACAUGACCAUCUUUGUUGUGUCAUGCAGUUGUCUUUUACCACUUUCUAUCUAUCUUCGUCUUACUUUGUCUUCUCCUCUGGUUGAUUGACAGAUCGGGCAUGGGGUGCAGCUAAUAGUCCCAUGGUCCAGCACCUUUUACUAUUUCUCAGUUCCAUUGUAAAUUAUAAUCAGUUCUUCUAUCAAUUUAGAAUUUGGUAUCUCUGAGUCGGUCUAAGAAAUUGUUGCGUAGAAAAUCAUGCUAUCUCCUCCAUCUAAGUUACUUUUUUCUUUUCCAUCUGUAAUCAACCAUAAAGUCCAAUUUCAUGUUGUAACUGAGAAAUUCCUGUAAUUAGAUUGUCUUACUCACUUUCUCGAGUGUUCUCUGCUGUCCUGUAUCCUAUGAUACUUUCAGCAAACAUAUUUCUCAAACCUCUGCCGUGUCUUUCACAAUUUGAUCAUUGCUGCACACAUCAGGUUUGAGUAAAAGCAUCAGAAUGGGAAAUUAGGGGCAUUCAUGUAAAAGUAACAGUUUCAUUUAAAUUAAUUUUUAUUCAAUAUAGCCUUAAAGGAGCUUUUUGAUAGUAAGUUUCCAAAAAGUUUUCCAGGGAAUUUUUGUUGUGUGGCAACUUUUGUGCUGUUUUCCUGCCAACAACUGAAAAUGAUGCCAUAUGUCACUUAGAACUAUCCGAGAUUCGUUAGGUUUAAAGUGAGAAAACUUCACUCAAAUUUGAGUCCUUCCAACAUGUUUUACCCACUGGUGUUCCUUGUAUAUAGUUUCAUCUCCACAACUAUGAUAUGAGCUCAUGAUAGGUUGGAUAGCAAGUAAACAUUGUUUGCUAGAAAGCAUAAAACCAGAGUAGUAAUACUUCUGAAAUUGCAGAAAUUUAAGUAGGAAAUUCUUGUUUGGACUUUUUUAGGUCUUAUGGCAAACACAUCAUAUAUACUUGGAUGCCUUAAAAGGAUACUAUCAGUUAUACAUCUUCUGAAGUAAAGAGUAAGGUCUCCUAUAACUCCAGAAACUGGUAAGCCAUGGACAAAGUGAAUCUGUUCUCUGUUUUUUCAGAUAAAAUUCAGAAUUGUUGUCAUGAGAAAAUUGCUAGCAACUAAUCUGAUGUUCAAUACCGAAACCAAUAGUGUUGUGAGAAUACCCUUUUGGAGCACUUGUACUGGUUACUCCCUUUUUAAUGGACGGCUGAGUCCAAAGUCAUGUGAAGAUAUCUGGUGACCAGUUAAGGCAUGGUGCUUUGUUUAAUUAGUGCAGCCAGAAGAUUGACUUGUUCUUGUAUUUAGUAGCUGAUGCUACUAAAGAUUGCAGGACUAAGUUUUUUUUUGUGUGUAAUGGUAGUAAUGGUUACUGCUUGUUUGACAAAUGAAGAAAGCUUACCAGGAGUGUCAAACGACUCUAGUAUCUUCAGUCCCAACCAGCCACCCACCCACCCCAAAUGCUAUUAUACUAUGACUUAGGUUCUCCUUACCACAUGAAAGUACCUUUCCUUACCAAUUUGCCUUCAGAAAGAAAAAGAUUGAAUGUCAUGCUCCUAAAAUUGUCGGGGUUGCAUUGGAAUUAGGGAGAAUAGAUUAGCGUUGUUAGUGGUACAUAAUCAGGAAUUAAUUCAAUCAACAAAUUCCCCUUGCUUCCUGAGGUUGGAUUGUUCUGUAUUAGCUGAUGCUUAUCAAACUUUGCAAGGUUAAGUUUCUAUUUCAUGUGUAAAAACAGUAAAAUAGUUGCCCCCAAGGCCUAGCUCAAGUGGCAAAAGGUGGAGGAUUUGUGGCUUAGGUCACAGGUUCAAGCCCCACACCAUGCAAAGCAAAGCCCGGUAUUUAAGUGGAGAAGGGUAGAGGGGCGGGCCCAUUAUCCACCGAGUUUAGAAGGCUGUGAUUGAUCCAAAGGGCGGGUCACAGAAGAAUUUCUCGGUAAAAAAAAAAAAAAAAAAAAAACAGUAAAAUAGUUAAAUUUCCAUUCCUAUCAUUUAAGUGAUAUUUAGAAUGUUAAAGGCUAUCUCAUGGAGUACUUGUUACACCAGCAAUCUGAUAACAGCUAUAAGGUUCAUCAGUAGGCUGUUUGACAUCUUCCCCUAAAUUAAUUUUAAUUUCCUAUUUUGUUGGCAGAUUGAAUCAUGUGGUGGCCAAGCUAUGACUUUUGGUGGUGAUGUUUCAAAAGAAGAAGAUGUAGAAUCAAUGAUGAAAACUGUAAGCAAACUCCUUUCCUGGUGAAAUUUAUUUUAAAUGUAUCUUACUGUAGUUGUUUCCAAAUAAUUUCACCUUAUAAGACUCAUGUUUACAGGUGGUUGAUCAAUGGGGAACAGUUGAUAUCUUAAUAAAUAAUGCAGGUCGACAACAGUCGUACUGUGUCGUGUUUAGUUUACUAGAAUGACGGCUCAGUAGUUGUCGUGGUUUUCUUUCCAGGUGUAACACGUGAUACUUUGUUGAUGAGAAUGAAGAAAUCUCAGUGGCAGGAGGUUAUUGAUUUGAAUCUUACUGGAGUAUUCCUUUGCACACAGGUCUAUACAGUUGCUGUGUUCUUAAUUCGACCAGAACUUGGGUCUUUUUCAAAGAAAACAUUUUUUUAGAGAGAUCUUUUUCCUUGUUGCAGGCUGCUGCUAAAAUUAUGAUGAAAAAAAAAAGGUAAAUGUUUAGCCCCUUCCUAGUGCAAUUCAUCAAAAAAUGAUUUAGAGACGAGGCUAAAUAUUUAGCUAACUGCUGCAUAAAUUACUACCCGCAGUUUGAUUGGUGCCUUUCCAGUCAAUUUGAAGAUGCGUUUAUUUAUAUAAACCAUCAAUGCAUUCUUUUAUUGUUUCAUGUACUCUAGAAUUUUAUCUAGUAGACUUCUCUAAAUUUUUGUAGGGGAGAAUAGUCAACAUAUCAUCUGUUGUUGGUUUAGUUGGCAAUGCUGGGCAAGCCAACUAUAGUGCGGCAAAAGCAGGAGUGAUUGGGUUAACCAAAAGUGUCGCAAAAGAGUAUGCCAGCAGGAAUAUAACUGUAAGUGCUCCUUAAUCCGAAUUAUUAUUCACUUGGGUGAGCCUUUUCUCUUUGAUAAAAGCAACCUUGGGACAUUGGAGUGUCAACUACAAAGGAAUUAAUUCUUCCUAACAAGGACAAUCUACUGACUAUUUAUGACGUUUGACAAGUUAUUUACCACAAUCUUUGUUUUCAUCAGGUUAAUGCUGUGGCCCCUGGAUUCAUUGCAUCAGAUACGACUUCCAAGCUAAGUGAAGACGUUGAGAAGAAAAUUUUGGCAAGCGUCCCAUUAGGUCAGGGCUAAUCUCCUUAACUAUGAUUGACAACUUUAUCUAAUAUGUAGCACUCUCCUGCACAUCAAAUAUGGAAACGUAUAGAAAUCAACGUCUUAGACAUCUGAUAAUGUGGCACCUGUGCGAGUGUUGGGGAUUUUUUGAAAUGUUUCCAAAAAUAAUUCAAACAUGUUUUUUGGAAGAAGCUCUUGCAAGUUGAGAAACUCGCCAAAGGUUGUGCUUCAACUUGCAAGAAUUUCUUGUUUUGACAGUUAUUCCUCACCAAAUAAACACUUUCUGGUAAAAUUCCACUCUCUCGCAGAUGCCACCAAAGAAUCCCAAGUUGAACAAGAGUAAUAAUCCAAUUCCCAGUUUUUCUGUGCAUUUAUUGCAAAAUCUUGAUACAUCCAAAAUAGGAUAUUUUCUCCGCCUUAUACUUUCAUCCAGCGUAUAAAAGAGUAAGUAUUAUUUUACUGUUUAUUUACACAAACUGCCAGUAAAACGAUUUUGGAGUCCUUUUAAAAACUACUGUUAUUUUGUUUGUUGAUAAGUUGGGGCUUCAUUGAGAUAACACUAACGAACUAAGAUACUUAAAUGAUCAGAUGAGAGUAGAAAGUUUGUUUUGUGAUGAAUAAAUUUGCUCCUCUUCAAGUGUUAGUUUAGUUAUACAGAGUAUAUUUUCCGCAUGAUCAGUAAUAUAACCAAUGUCAUCAAUUUGUAUUUUAGGCACCGCAAAUAUUGACAAAUUUUGUUGUGGUGACAGGACGAUAUGGCCAACCAGAAGAAGUUGCUGGAUUGGUGGAAUUCCUAGUACCAAGUCCUGCAGCCAGUUAUAUUACUGGACAGGUUCUUACUAUUGAUGGUGGAAUGGUUAUGUAGAAACUUUCAGCAUUUCCAGUUGGUUUCCAUGACUUGGAUGACACUGAAAAGGUUGAUUAGCUAUGUUGGUAGAGAAAACUCAGUAGCCUAAUGAGCUGUUAGGGUUUUCAUCAUUAUUUUUGUCCAACUGUUGCAACCUGAAUUCUGUUGGAAUGGACGAUACACACUCUGUUCAGCACUACUUAAUAGGCUUUUAACAAAUGUGAAUUUUUUUUAUGGCCACUUGUUUCAGGGUACUGGGGAAGAUUCAGGCAAUAGCAACACAACACAACACUUGGGGACAGAAAAGCCAACGCACCUUUUAGCAACAUUUUUUCCUUUUACUAAACAGGCAGCAAUCUAGAACUAAACUAUGUAACAAAACUGUUUUCACCUAACCUUUAUCCACUCCCAAGCAGACAACCAACUUAUACACGAGCAAAAGAAUUUCAAAUAAAAAUAUAAGAUGACUGGCUAUGUUGGCCAGACCCGCCAACCAGGUCUCUUCUGAAGCAUCCAAGCUGGGGGACACUUGCAUCAACUUAAGAGACCCAAAGUCACUAGAAGGUCAUGACUUCUCUGUGUAUCCUAUCCCCCCUAAAAAAAAAAUCCAUAGUCCACCCUGGGACGAUAAAAUGAGAGUCCAAUUAAACCACAAAGCACCCUCAUCAACUUGACGAUCGGCCAAAGUACUAAAGAGAUAUCAAUCAAUCUCUCCUUCCUCUGGAUCAUUCGAUACGUCAGGGAUGCUCUGUGGUUCAGCUUCUUCUUCCUCCUCUUCAUCUUCAUCUUCGUCUUCUUCCUUCAUAUAUAAUCCAAGUUGCUCCAAUGGAUUACUAGUUGCCUUAAAUUUGAAACUCCCAAGAACAUUCUCAGAAUGACCAGGACUAGUCUCCUCAAUGAAGCUCUCUAGCUGUUCAUCUGGAGCAGCUCUGAACAAUUCCAGAUCUUCCAUAAAUUGACUGUUCUCAUUGAUUUCAACAGUCUUCUCCAUCUGCUAGCACAUGAUUUAAGAGUGUUAUAAAGUGACAGUUAAAAAGAUAAUCUCAAUAAAUGUAACCCCAUCUGUCUUUACCUUCUGGAGUGCCUGACGGGCAGCUUCUCUUUCAAGUUCUCGUUUCCUUUUGGCUUCUGCAGCAGCUUCUGCCUCAGCUCUUUUACGAGCCUCUUCGGCAGCCUUAGCUUCAGCUUGCAACCGAGCUUUCUCUGAGUAAGCAGAUAAACAAAUAAAGUGGUGGUUUUCAGAGAUGCAACCAAGAAACAAACCCAAAGUGUUUUCUCUGAAUAAACCGAUAAACAAAUAAAGAGGUGGUUUCAAAGAUGUGAUUGUGGACUUCCACACAUGCAACAACAGAAAACACAAACCUUCUCGCCUUCGCCUUUCAAACUCCUCUCUCUCAAGCUUUAGCUUUUCUGGGUCCCGCACUUCACCCUAAAAUUUUAAAAAGACUAGUUAAGCAAAACAAUAGUACACCUGGAUGAAUGGAACUAAAAAAUCUAACUUAACGCAAGCAACGCCAGCUAAAGUUUGGCUGACCUUUUCAAUGCUCUUCUCCUGAGCUUUUAGUAUGAUAUCCGCAAAGCGACCUCUUAACAAAGCUGCACGGUAAAGCUUCUCAGGAGAGACUUGCCUCUCAGGUUCAGCACUUUCCUCUAAAAGGUUACAGUACAUGAUGAGUGAGAUGAUUGCUGCAAAAUUAGUAGCAGACAUUUUCUUCAUCUAUUACCAUUGCUUACCCUCUCGAUGAUCAUCGGGCUCAGCAAAAUUGGAGUUCUGCUGAGAAGUCAGCACUGUUUGGCCAGCCAACGGAUCUGUAGUACACAAACACUAUAUCAGCACACAUACUGACCAAUAAAGCUAUUAAAUCUUUCCACCACCCACAGAUUUACAGAAAGAAAGCAGCAAUGAAAAUCAUGUCAUUUGAUUCCCACAGGUUGACAACCUGUAGUUUCUGGAAGGUCAAGCUCAUCUUCCUGCUCCAAUCUCGCCCCAGAAGCCGCUGUUGCCUGUGGAAGAACAAAAUUAUUUUAGAAGGCAAUAGAAGUCAUCACUCAAAAUAAUAAUAAUCCAAUAAGAGAACCAAAUAACUUAUAAAAUCAGACGACAAUAUCCACACCUUCUGAACAGUUAAGGCAACUGAAUCUUUAUCAGCAUCCGAUUCACCACCAGAUGAGCUUCCAGAAUCUGUACCUGAGAAAGAAAGGAGAUAACAAUUUUAGCAAGUAAAGAAACAUAGCACCUUAAGUUCACAGCAAAUAUGGCAGCAAGAAAAUAUCAACUUUCCAACAGUCCAGACUUCUGACACAAAAGCACAACCAUUCCCGACAAAUAAGAAUUGCAGAACUUUCAACUCAAUGCAAGCCUCCUAAUACAAGCAAGUUAAAAGGGCUAAUCGACCUAAUACUCUCAAUUAAUACGGGUAUUUAAAAAAAUCUCGCCGAUUGCUGGACAGAGUAACUUUUUUUUGGAUAAGCAAAUCUUAGAAUAUGACACAGGUACUAUCCAGCAACGUACACGUCUGAGCACAUAAACAAAUUUGUUACCAUAGGAAGUACAUACACAACAAUUUCAGAAUAGAAGAUCCAGAAACAAUGUUUAGAAUCUAGGAGGCCAAAUCACAAAUAAAGCAUGAUUAAAAACCAAGCAAUGGUAUUAUUGCCAAUGGAAGUAUGAGGCGGGAGAUUCAAGGGUCGGGCUUUCAUUGCCAAAGAUGAACAGAAAGCACAGUGGAAAAUUGCAAGGUUGUCAGAGUAAAGAAGAAAGUUAUUUUUUCACAUUAAUUCCUUUUUCAGCUUUUAAAAGAAGUCACUUCCAAGCAAGCAAACCAUAAUGUAUUAACUUCUGAAAAGUGCCUAUUGAGUAUUGAAAGACGCUAUACUUCGACUCCAAGUUCUACAGCCAAAAAAAAAUCACUCACUACCAAUCUCUUUAUAAAUCUACAUCUGCCAAGUUGUGGCACAAUAAAUUUUGAAGACAGAAAGCUAUCAAACAUCCAACUUCUAACAAACACUUUAUAUCCAUAGUAAUUGACAGUUCAAAAAGUUAUGGCAGAUAAUUAGCCAAUACUGCUAAUGUGAUUCAAAGACCAACAAGCCUCACUGUCAUUCAUAUAACAUGCUAACGAGCUCUAACUUACUAUAAUGUCAGACAUAUAUCUAGUUCAGCCAAACUUAUGUAACAGGGAGACACCAAAAUCCCCUCCCCCGCCCAGCAAAAAGACAGAAAAAAACAAGAAGAAAUAAUCCAUACCAAAAUAAUAUCAAGAUAACAGUUUCUAAUUUCCUAGCCCACGGGAAAAAAUCACAAGAAGUUUCAAUUACCUAGCCAGGAAAAAUCCUACAUUUUCCCUGGCCUACUGACAAUCAUGACUGGAGCAAGGUGCUUCAGUCUCAAAUUGUCAAAAGUGCCAAUGCCCAGUUCAAUUUCUAUUUAACAAAAAGGUUUGACAACACAAAAGAGCUAGCAGGAGCACAAAGUUUCUAAACUUCACAUGGGAAUUACUCAAGUGGUAGAGUUCAAAACUCAUGAGCAAGAUGUAAAACAAACUUUUUUCCAGAACUUGAAAUACGUUACUUCCCCAAACGAGAGAGAGCAAACCGGUUUUUUCUCUUCAUGUUUAUUUCUUUUUAUUCUUUCUUAUUUGUGUUACAACACCUUAAUUAAAUUCUAAUUCAGAAUUGUGAAAAUAUCCUACAAAUAGAAAUGUUGUUUCUACAAAAUGCUGCUAUAAGCAAAAAGAGAUUAACUUCCUUUCAAGUAAAGCCAAUAUAAACAUGUAUUUGAUGAGUUUUUAAUAAAGAAAUUAACAUCCUAUUCUUCUUUAGUUGUUCAUUUUCCCACCAAAAGUUCCUGCCACGGCAUCAGCCCAUCCUCGAAUUCCUGCGGACAUUUUGAGCCUUAUCUUGGAUAUUUGAAUAUCCUAGACAAAUCAACCUUCUUUCCGAUACCCUAAGUACUACAGAACGUUAAAAAAAAACAAGUGAAACAGGAACUGCAAAGUGAUAGGGAUGGAAUCUACGCAGGUAGCCUUUUCUUGUUAAGAAAAUGGAGGAAGGUAUUCUCAGUUUAGCAAAUGUGAAGGCACUCCUAAAUAGCAGCUACAGAGAAAUACAUAUUUGAUACAGACCAUACAGUGGGGAAACAUGAUCAAUAAAUUGGAGCUUGAGACAAUUUCUGAAAAUAGUUCUGAAUUAUCUUUUAAAAUGUCAAGAGUAGAAUGGUAUCAAUGGUGUCGGUGUUCAUAUGGAGGCAAUGCUAGGUUUGAUGAUGGUGGAAGAGCAGGAUAGGGUCUAUUAUGUUGCUGCUAAAAUAAUUCUAUGCACAAACAGAUCAGUAUGUAGGCAUCGAGAACAACUCUAGACCAUUAGUAUCUACACCAAAUUAAGGUGGGAGGCAAUUGUAAGAUAUUACAGUGGUUGUAGAUCUGUCAUCAAGCCAAUUAGAAACACGGGCAUGUAGGGUCUGAUAACCAGUUUGAAAUCUAAUCGUCUUGAGUUUUUAACAUACAUAACCAGCUAAGAGCAUCUGACUUUCAAACCCCUAAACCGACCCAUGGAAAAAGUUCUAGUUGAAGAAAUGAAUUGAUUAGGGGAUAUCAGGUAUACUACACAUGCAAAGUGCUACUGAAAAUGCACAAACAAGUAAAAAUAACAAGGUAAUAGGAGAAAACUUCUCUUCUCGGAUGUCCCAUUAUGCAAUGAGACAGUGAGCAUGUAUAUGGAUAAAAGGAACAAGUAAAUUUUUUAUUAUUUACCAUGAGUAAAUUUAUAAUAAGCAUACAAGAGAAAGGCCAAGUAAGGUAAGACAUUCUUAAUAGCACCAACCACUAGAUGAAGAGCCAGAAUCACUACUCGAACUACUUGAACUACUGCAUUUAUUGCUCCCGCGAGCUCUAUCCUUCUCUAUCUCCACAGGAGGGAAGCUUGAAACAGGUGGAUCAUUCCCACCGAUAUCCACUUCCUCAUCUGCCGGAUCAUUUCCUGUAUAAAGAACGGAAACACAGAAAAAAGAAAAAAGGAAUUAGAAACUAGAAACUUCAACAACCACACUAUAUAAACUCAAAGCUCAAAUUCUCCACAUCUACUGAUCAAACUCACCUUUGCAUGGCUGCAUGGAUGAAUUACUGAAUCCAGACUCAUUGUGAAGCUGUAGAACAGCAAAGAGUAUGACAUCAGAAUUUGCUUACAAAGAGAACUAAUGUUACAUACCAUAUGAAGUAACACACUAGGCAUCCACGUGCUGAUAUUUACCUCCAUCUCACAGGGUUCACCUUUAGCCUGAUUUUUCUGUUUCUCCAGUAGAUAAUCAUCCAAAAGCUUCCGUAGCUCGUACAAGAUAUCGUCAUGAAGAACAUCAAGAUCAAUCUCGAUCUCAUCUUCACUGACUUGACUUCCAUUGGAGCUUUUUUCUUUCAAGAAAUCAAUUAUAUUUUCAGGUAAUUCAGUCAGUAAAUCUUCAAGCUCGGCAGUGAGUUUAUGUUUUUCAACAUCACUCAUGACUCGCUUUACAGGUUCUGGUUUAACCCUGUUCUCCAAUGGAGCAAUUUUCUUCUUCUUUGAAGGCGGCAUUGCUGGAGGAGUAUCAGUCUCAGUUUCUAUGAUAACACUCGACUUAGAAGGUAAAGGUUCCUCUUGAAUAACAGGUAUCUUUUUUUCUAUUGGUUUCCACCUAACCUCAAAAAAUUUAAGAAGUGUUUGAGCCAUGAUAUGAACAUCAUUUCCUGGCGGAUUGUAUGUCAUUGCAUUUUUAAAAGUGAGCCGCACAUCAUCAGCAAACUGCAAAGGGCUCGAAUAUUCUCCCGAAUGCAACUUUGACCUGAUGGUCCCUAGGUCCAUUGGUUGCUUAAUAACAGUGAAGUAGUCGGGGAUUUUUAACUUUACGACAUCAACUGGAUGAUUGAAGACCCAACCAUGCUGAUGUGACAUCAGUCUGCUUAGCACUGUCUCGCACUGUUUCAUAAACAUGACCAUGCUUGUAUCUGCGGGUAUGGCCUGUUGCAUCGUCUUAGGCCGCUUAGCUCCGGGACCCUUAGUAAGAGGCCCAUUUCUCCCUGGGGCAGCCUUUUUCUUCCCAGGAGGAACCACUGCUUCAGCCAUAUAUCGCUGAGAUAUCUCCGAUCCUGAUCUUCUCUGCCCGUUGGUGCAAUUUUGAAUAUCACUAGCAGGUGAAAGAACCCCAAUAUUAGAGCCGACAGAAGCAAUUUUCUUCUGCAGUCCUCUGACUAGUUCAAGUUCAUUCUUCAACCUAAUUCCCAACACUUUUUUCUCAGAGCAUGACAUAUUGGACAACGACAUUACUUGAAUAGGUGCACCAAAUUGGUCAUGACCAUCAGCAUUCAAACAAAUGGAUUUUCUUUUAGGUGCACAAGAGUCCUCCGAUGCAGUCCUUUCAGUAUCAACCCGUCCGGAGCUCCCAAAACCUUCGGAUUCUGCCAUUGUCUCAACAGCAUUACGAUAAUCGGGCACCAUCCCAGGCAAGUAACCUUUAAAACCCUUGCGUGAUUUUCCCAUCAUAUCACCUGAAUCCUUUUUAAAGAACUUCCUCGAUUCUCUCUGUCCAAUGUAAUCUAUUGGAACAGUAGGUGCCAUGAGAAUACCUCCCCAAUUCUGUACAUAUCAGAUAUUUCUUUUCAACAUUUAAUCCGCUCAAAUUACACUAUACCUUGCUAGGUCAACAACAAUUAUCUAUCAAAUAGACCUCGCCAGGUCAACAAUUAUCAAAGAUAUCAAUAGCACCGGCAUAUGACAACUUCCACCGUUCCUCUCAAUGCAGAGUUCAAUCAAUUCGUCGUUUUUCCCCUUCGUUCAAUCUAUUAGAUUUUCCGUUAAAACUCAAUCAAAAAAGUCUGAUUUAUUCUGGACUAUGAAUUCAACAAACAAAUUGUGGAAGAAGUAAAAGAAUAACAGAUUUAUACAAACCCUAACCUCCAAUCAAAUUAUCUUCAAUCAGAAACAAACCCUAGAUCAAAAAAGAUCAUACCUUUAUAACCUCAAAUCAAAUUCUCCUCAUUCAGAUACAAACCCUAACCUCAAAUCAAAUUCCCUUAUCUUUCAUAAACAAACCCUAGAUAAAUUAAAAAAUUAAAAACUAAAAAAAGAUCCUACCUUUAUAAUUAAAAACCUACAAUGGUUGAACUAAAAUAGAAACCUGGAUCUCCCAACAGCAGAUAACCAAACCAAAUAGGGUUGAGAUCUUAUCGGUUCGGGUCAUACCCACGACCCCAAAUCAAGGAACAAAACCAAACCCUAGAACAAAAAACCCUCUUCACCGCUAAUAAAAGAGUGAGAUAUAAUUAAACUAUAUAUAAAAAAAAAAACACAACAUUUGAGGUAAAGCUAGAGAGAGAAACAGAGAGAGAGAUGAGAUGAAGAGAGAGAAACAGAAUACUUACGAUAUUUUCUUUGUUGGGUCUCUAUCUUUUUGAUUGCCACCGUCUACUUAAAGGCUGUUUUGCAGCCAAGCCCGCCGCUCAUUCGCUAAUCUUGACCAUACAUUGCAGGUCCUUAAUUGAUCUGACGGUUUUCCUAAUUUCUGUAUUUCAGACCGUAAGAUUCAGAUCUGACGGCUCUGAUUUGUUGUUGGACACUCUUUUCAGAUCUGUAAAAUUUAUGUUUUCCAGUUGGGUUAAUUUAUUUAAUCUUACGCGGCACUGAUUAAUUAAGGACUAAUUAAGAGUAUACGUCACGCGCUCCCGUGGAAAAUGUGUUGCACUUGCCAUAAUUUUGAUAAAUGCAAAAAAGGUAAAAAAAUAAAUGUUCUUUGAAAAUGGUUUAAGAUUAUGUCCUUUUUCAGUAUUUCAUUAUAUAAUUGUCCUAAAUAAUAAUUUUUGGGUUUAAAUUCUUCAUCACCAUUUCUUGGACCAUAUUUAUUUCUUUACAAUUAAAAUAUCUCUUCUUUUAAUUAAAUUAAUUAUGUGGUGGUAAAUAUGUAUCUAUAAUUAAAUAAAUAUUACUAAUAUAUGAAUAUCAAACUCAACUCAUAAAUAAUCUGAAUCAUUUAAAUUUAUUUAUUUGAUAAUUAUUGGAGUUGAAUUAUUAAUAAUUUAUAUUUGUUAAAGAAUGAAAAAAGUUGGAUUAAAUUUAAAUCUAAAAUUAAUUAUAGCUUGUUUGUAUCCAUUCAGAACAAAAAAAUAUUGCUCAAAUAGAAAGACAUUAUUAAUUUUCCCAAAAGGUGAACAUGGAAAAAAAAUAGUAUGGACAAAUAAUGUAUAAUGGUUUUGAUUUAAGCGGAUGGGUCUUAUUUAUGUUGAGCUUAUGUGGAUUACUAAAUGGACUGAGCGCACAAAUAUCCAAUUUUGUGAUCAAUAUUAUCUUUCGUUUGCCUUUUAAAUUUUUUAUAAGCUAAUUCGUUUUUUAAAGUUAUUUAGACAUAUUAGAUAAAAAAAAUUAAAAUUUUAUAUCAAACUUUAAGCGUUUUUAUCUAAAGUGUGGCUUUAUAAAUAAUUUGAUGUUUGAUAUAGUUAAUCAAUACUAAUUUCGAAUAUCUUUUAUUAAAGUUGUGAACUAGAUAAUGACAAAUUUUAGACAUUUUCAAUUGAAGUUUUACUUAAUUUGCAAAGGCUAAUUUCAGACAUUUUUCGAAUGAAUUGUAUGUAAGAAUUAGCUGAAAUAAUCAAUCAUAUAUGUCUAAAAUUUUCAUAUGUUUUGUGCGACUGUACAUGUAAAAAAUGAUAAGUAUUUUAUCCAUGUGUUUGAAUAUUUUUCAUCAAAUUUUUUUCCUUCAAAUUUUAACACACACAAGUCAACAUCUAAAUCUAUUUCAAAUAAGUCAAAAUAAAAACACAAAUUUCAUAUAUUAUAAAAAUCAAAAUAACAUAUUUAGUAUAAUCGUAAAAAUAGCAUCUGAAUUCAUAUAGAACAAAUUUCAAACACUGAUUUGUCACAAUAACAACAAAUCUAGUAAUUUAUUUAACAUUUUUAAAAUUAUUUUUCCAAUUUUGAAAUACAAGUGCAAUUAAAGAAUUUCUUAAAUUUCAAUCACGUGUGCAUGACUUUUUUUGACGAGGGAAAAAAAAAUUGGUAUUUGAAUUUCAACAAUUUAAUACUCCAUUUGAUCACUUUUAAUUGGCAAAUUCGAAUUUGGCAUAUUCAUUAAGAAAAUAUACAUUGAUGUGAUUAUUUUUUACUACACUAUCUCUAUUAAUUGAUUUUUAGUAUUUGGUUCUUGAAAAAAUGAUUUAACGGAUAAAUAAUUAAUUUUAAAGGUAAAACAUAUGUACAAAUAAUUGUCUUUUCAUAAUAUAUUAAAAAUGAUAAAUAAAUUGAAAUAUUUAUUUUUUAAAUAUUGAACAAAUUAAAAAUAAACAUAAAUAGUACAUAAUUUAACAAAUUUAUUCAAAAAUAAACUCAAAUUUAAAACAUAAAUUUCACGUAUUAUAAAAAUCAAACUUUAGUUGUCAGCUUAUAAAAAAAUAUAUCUAACAAAAAAGUGUAAAUAAAUUUGUAUGAUUCAAAAAAAUAUCUUCAAAGUAAACUAAUAAAAUUAUUAUUUUUUAUUUAUAAUUCUCAAAUAAAUAGAUAUAAAAUAAAUAAUAUGAUAUCAAAAAAAUAUUAAUAUUUAAUCAUGAUAAAACAAAUUCCAAGUAAGCGGAAGACAAUGAAUAAGCAAGUGACGUGUAGUCUUAUAUAUCAGCGAGUAUGUAAACGCCGUACAAUUUCGUGACGCGGCAAGUGGGUCCAAGUUGGGUAGCCACGUGCGCCAAUUCUUACUACUGCCGACUUGUUAUUGCCUUUUAUGAUAAUGACGAAAAAUAUCAUUUUGUGUAUUAAUCGAUUUGUUGUGGUCAUAUUGUUAUUUUAAGAUUUUUUUUCUAAUUUUAUUUUUAUUUAUCAUUUUGUGUACUACUCCGGUCACAUCGUUAUUUUAAGUUUUUUUUUUUCUAAUUUUAUUUAUAUUUAUUAUUUACUAAUUUUAUUUUAUCUUUUAUCAUACUUUUUAAUUGUACCUUUACCUCAUACCUUACUUCUUCUUCUUCUUUUUUUUAUAGUUUUUAUUAUACAAAUUGUUAAUAUGUGAUAUUUUAUAACGACGAAAAACGUAUAAAUGUGAUAUUCAUUAAAACAAUAUACAAUGAUACAUUAUGAAAUAAUAGAUAACAACCAUCCAAACAAAGUGUACGGAAAAUCACGUAGGAUGGGUCGGCCCUCCAAACUUUCUAUUCUUCUUAAACGACUAGGAUAAAUAUAUAUCAUUUAUUAUAUAUAUAUAUUAGGGAAAAAAGUCUGAAAUAUAUCGGAACUUUGACCGAAAUUGUUGUAACAAUACCAAAUUUUGGGCAGGACCUAUUACCACUGCACUAUUUAAUAGUGUAUUUUAAAAAUAUAUAAGUGUCCAGCUGGACAAAUUACUAUUUAUAAUGAUGCAAUAUUUUGAUGUCUUCUUUAAAAUACACUAUUAAAUAGUCCAGGGGGUAAUAGGUCCUGCCCAAAGUCAUCAAUUUCAGUCAAAGUUCUGUAUAUCGAAUAAUUUAGUGCUAUAUAGAUGCUUGUUCCUUUCCCUAUUUAGUGAAAUAUCAAUUUCACUUUAAGCUCCUCAUCUCAUGUUAUAUGUAUAACUUAUACUCCAUCUGUCCCAAUUUAUGUGACUUGUUUUUCUUUUAGUGAGUUCCAAAAAGAAUGACACAUUUCUAUAUUAAGUAACAAUUUAACUAUAAAAUAUUUAUUUUACCCUUAAUGAAAUGAUUUACAGCCACACAAAUUUCUAUCAUUCAUUUUGGACCACAAGUUUUUAAAAGUCUUCAUUUCUUUCUUAAAUUAUGUGCCGAGUCAAACUACCUCACAUAAAAUGGGACGGAGGGAGUAUUAGAUUAUAAGUUUUGAUUUUUUAAUUAUAUCAUCUUUAUAUUUUGUGCUUAGUCAAAAUCCUUUAUAUGGAUUGGGAUAAAGAGAAUACUAUAAAGAAUUUAACCCCUUAAAAUUUGUUAGUAAUUUUUAUUUAGAAACCCUAAUUGUAAUAUGUUGCAAUUAAACAUUUGAAUAUAUGAUAAAUUAUUCUAUUAAACACUUUUGACUCAAUUUUUUUUAAAAAAAAUAAUUAUUUAUGUAUCCUUAAAACAACUAUUACAUAAUAAGUUAUCUACGUAAAAUAUUUUAUUUACGUAUACAUACCCGUCUUAACUGAAACAUGUUUUUAGUUUUACCAUUUCUUAAAACUAGUGCGAAUACUUUAAAGAUGUGAUAUAUUUUUAAUUGGUUAUUUUUUUACAUAAUGGGUAUUAGAACAUGCAAAGAAGCUUUUUUCAAUUUUGAGCAUUAAGUACCCAAUACAAAUAUUUUAUUAUGUAUUUAAAUAUUAAAUUGAAAUAUAUCAUAAUUUAAGUAUUUAGCAGAAAUUUACAAAUAAAUUUAAAACUUAUUAAUAGUAUUACCCCCUUUAAAGUGUAUAUUAUCACUUUUUUUUUAUAAUGAAACUUUUAAAAAUUUGAAUUUAAAAAUUAUCGAUAUAUGUAUAUUACCACAUUUCUUUGUAAUGAAACUUAUGAAAUUUCAAACUCUAGCACACAAUAUCAAAGUAUUUCUAUGUUUUAGAUAAAACUUAUUCAAAAACUUAUUCCUUAUUAAGGAGCUGUAAACAUUGCUUAGUUUUGAAAUCAUAAGUAAAUCUUAAUUUUGUAUGAAAAGGGAUACUUGAGAAUUUCUCCCAUGAGUUUACUUAAAUGGUUUGAAUAAGGGGUAAUUAGAUAAAAUGUCCAUUAAAUUUCUUACUUAAAAUAAUUUAAUCAUUGUUUAUUAAAAAAAAACUCAACUAUACGUAUUGCAGGCAAAGUGGCUUAAAAGUUUUGAAAUAUUGUGAGAAACUCACUCAUAUCUAAAGUAGUUAUGAAUUGGUCGGAAUUGAAAAAAAGAAGAAGAUUAUUUCGUUGAAGAAGAUGGACUAAUACAAUAUAAAAUAUUGUAUAAAUUAUGUAUAUAAAUGUAUAUACAUUUCCAUUACAUAGUUAUAUGUCGUAUAUACACAUAUAUAUGAAAUAUACAACUAUGUAUCAUAUAUAUUUAUUAUAUAGAUAUGGUAACAUCAGUCUAUCAAAUCCUCGUUAAUGCAUAGAUUACACAUGUAAUUAGUUUUAUGAUUUCUUUUUAAUGACUGUGAUCAUCUAGCCUGUUAUAAGGAGAUAUCGAGGUGCUCUCUAGCUUUUACUCAUAUUAUUUAUGUUUGUCUAUGCUAAUAUUAACAGCGUUACCCAAAAAAACUAUUGACACAUUAUAUAUACAUGGGAACUUUCGCAAAUAGCCACUAUAAUAAACUUAAUUAUGAUCCAUAACUAUAGUUUGCAUAUUUACGGGUUGUAGCUACAGUUUAAGUUGUCUCGUUUGUAUAAUUUGCGGAUUUGUAUAAUUCACAUGUACAUUUGUACAAUUCAGUUAUUUUUGUAUAAAUUCGAAAUAACGAAUUUAUACAAUUACAAACAUAAGAAAUGUCUACAAUAAUAUAAAUUAUCUUAUACGAAUUCCGAAUUAUACAAACGUGCAAAUUAUACAAAACUAAAAAGCUGAGCCGCGUAAUUAUAUCUAAAAGUAUGUCGCGAAUUGUAAGGCAAACUAUAACUAUGUUAAUUAAUUAACUAGUAUAUAUUUGCUGCGUAAUUUUUCCUAUAUACAUGUUUUUUUUUUAAUUUUCUAAUUUUUCUGGCUACAUUUAAUAAGAAUCCCUUUGAACAAGGGAUAAUUGUACUAAUGGCAAAUUAUUAAUUAAAAUUAAAUGCUAUAAAUAUACUUUGAUUUAAUUGUACCCUAUAGCAAACUAUUGCUAUUUUCGCCACUCUCCCUGGUGGAAUCUCACUCGCCACUCUCAUUUGGUGGCAGUCUCGCUCGCCUCUCUCGCUUUUAUACAAACACAAAUGUAUAAAAAUGCGUUUGUGUUUGUAUAAAGCGAGAAGAAAUUGUAUAUAUACAUAUAUUUUCGUUCCCCUCUCGCUCAUCACUCUCCCAAAUCUCGCUCGCCACCCUCGCCUCUCUCGCUUAUACAAAUAGAAAGGAAAUGUAUAAAUUGCUCUUCUGUUUGUAUAAAGCGAGAGAAAAUUAUAUAUACACAUGCAAAUACAUAUAUCUUCGUCCUAUACACUUAUAAUUAUACAAUACAAAUAUUUCGCUGCCCAGUUUUCUUUUGCCUUUCUCUCAUUCUCAUUUUAUACAUACACAGAUUAUACAAUUGAUCUUUUGUAUACAACUACUUUCUUUUGUAUAUGUAUAGCGAAUUAUACAACAACUUUCUUUGUAUAUGUAUAUCGAAUUAUACAAUUGUUUUUUUUGUAUAUGUAUAGCGAAUUAUACAUAUAUAUGUUUGCUAUGGAGCGCAAUUAUGCAAACUUUGCUAGAGCAUACAAAUAUGAAUUUUGUGUUUGCUAAAUGUGAAAGUUGCUCUUUGAACAAUAACAAGGGUCGGAAAGGUUGGGCCUUGUUUCUGGACUAAUGCAGCAAGCUGUACUACAUCGAAUCGAAAAGCCCAUGUCCGUGAGAACAAAUAGAAAAAGCCCAUGUCCGUAAGAACAAAUAGAAAAGCCCAUACAUUUGCAAAUUGCAAGUCCAUACUGGUUGAAGCUUUACAUUUUUUUUAAAAUUCUUUUUAGAUUCCCUCAAUGCCUUCUGAGUCAAAAAGCACAUGCCUAGUGCAGUUUACAUCCCUGUGUGAUUUGCAUGCUAUUACACAGUGGAGGGUUUACCCAAUGCGCACAAAUUGCUCACCACAGAGUGCUCACUCGAAGGGCAGAGGCUGUAACAUAGAUUGUAGCGGAUGCUGGUUAUCCUCAGGUUUAAAAAAAGAAGAAGAGGUGUGUCAUUAAUAUAAUAUGUAUAUUCAUAGUCACUAGUUUGCGCUGAGUUUGAUUAGUAUUACUAAAUAUAAUGACAUUAAAUCACUGCUUAAUAUUAUUAUCGCUAUUUUUUUUUAUUAAUCUAAAUAUAAUUUUUGAUUAUAAUACAUGGUGAAACAAAUAAUUCUAGAUUACAGGUGUCGACUAGACGAAUCAAUGUUAGUGGAUAACGAUAGAGGGCUUUGCCAGCCAACUCUCCGCAGCCAAAAUGAAGAAAAACACCCAGUAUGAUCAAAUCCAAGAAGAUUGGAAGGAUCUAUAUUACUUUUUCUAUUUUAAUUUAUACGAAUUAUUUGAUCACUCACAAAAAAUUAAAAAAAGUACUUAACUUUAAAAAAAAUAAAAUUUGAUAAAUUUAAUGUUUUUAUUUAAAUACAAAUAACUAAUACGAGUUGUACCUUUUCAAAUAGAUUGAAAAGAAAAAAAGUCCACACAAACUAGGGUAAAGAACAUAGGAAAUUAGCAAAUAUGACUCUUUUAUUUUGCAAUUAAAAAGUAAUAUACUUUUUUCUGUUUUAUAUAUAUCGAAUGACUUCCAAAAAAUGAUCUUACCUACUUUUUACCCAUCCAUACCGGAUCCAAAGAAAACUCAAUUCCUCUUUUAUUCAGUUAUAAAAUAUGUUUGGAUCGAGUUUAAGUAAAAGAGGAAUUGAGAACAGAUCUAGAGGGGUAAUGUAAACGAGUAAGCUAAUAUUUUUAAAGCCAAGUUUCAUUUUUGAAUUAAAAAAACACAUUUUUUUAAGAAAUACGAAUAAGAUGUACAUACGCACCGUUUUGUUUAUACCAUCAAAGUAUACACUUUAAUGAUAUCAUCAAAGUAUACACUCUAAUCAUGAUAUCAAACCGUAAAUGGUACCGUACAAGUGAUCUUUUGUAAGGCACAUAUAUACGCACCGUUUUGUUAAUGAAAGAUUAAUUAUCCGCUUAAAAUUAGUGGGGUAUCUACUCAAUUUACAUAGUAUAUUUAAUUCGAGAGGCGACACGUAGUCGAAAUAAGAGAUUUGCGCAUGUAUCUAGAUCGCCGCCUGAACAUCAAUCAAUUGCUCCUGCCGCAACAAAGCACAUGGUAAAUCCCAUCUGGGCUAUACAACGUAGUUACCCCACAGUUUUACACAUGACGAGCGCCGUCCGUCCCUCUUUUAAGGGCUCCAUAUAUCGAUUAUCGAGUUGGCAUUACAUAAUAUAGAGAGAUACAUGCAUGCAAAAUGUAGUCCCCAGUGAACGACACUUGCAAAAGAAGGGGUUAAUUAUAUAUAUACCUGUCGCAUGAUCAGCAAUACUACUUUGGAAUCCGCUACUGUUACGUCUUUCAAUUUUUCUUACGAUAAGUCAAUAAGCAGAUAAAAGUCUUUUCAAGAGCAGAGCCGUGACAGAUUUUAUCAACAAUUCCAUUGGGCCAUAGCAACGAGCUCAGUGGGAAUGUGAAAUGAAUUCUUCCUCAGUGCCGUCGCCUGCUAAAAUCUUAAUUGUAAUGCUCUCUCAUCCGACACGUUAUCAUACUCAUCAAACUCCAGCAUCCUUUUUUACAGGUUACGUUGACGUGGAAGAGUAUCGCGCGGAUGAAAAGAAGAUGGUUCAUCUUUUUAUAAGAAUUUGAACAAUCUACUAGCAUGAUUUUGACUUUCCGACUCAGCAAGCUUUACAUCAUCUUUUUGAAAACAUAUAACAACAAACUUGUUUUGUUUCUUCCUUAAUUUGAAUUUAAAAUAUGCAUAUCCAACCUCUAGUAUGAUCUAGGAAGAAGUUUCUUUUUUCACCCCAUUCCACUAAAACAUUUAACAACAAACUUGUUUCUUCCUUAAUUUGAAUCUAAAACAUAGUAAGAUCUAGCAACAAGUUUUUUUUUUUUUUUUCACCCUAUUCGUAGUCUAUAUUGAAGAUUCGAUUAAAUUUAGAUUUUCACCCAACGUUUUUAGUCUAUAUUAAAGAUCAUAUUAAAUUUAGAUCGCAUAUUGUAAAAUCUAUUUAGAAAUAAGCGACCAUAUCCAUAAGACCAUGACUCAAAUUGGAGACCUCUUGUUAAGGAUUCCAACACACCACAACUAAACAAAUUAAUCCGAUGAUACGUGAUUGCAUGAGUCACAUUUCAAUAAUAAUAUAUAAUUAUAUAGUUUGAAGAAAUAUCACGCAGCGAAUUCCAUUCACAAAAGAGUAUAAAACCCAACAUACCUCGUUCCUUUUGAUGAGGAGAACAAUACCACCUUCCUUUUUAAUUUCAAAUUAUGAUAUAAUUUAAAACUACCGAAAUAAAUAAAUAUUUUUAUACAUUCUACCUAUCUUAUUUAAUUUAAGAACGAACAAUAUUCGGAGAGUACAUAUGUAUAUUUUGACAAAAUUUCAGACCACGGUCAUCCGGGGGGAUUUUAGUUUGGGCAAACUCCAUAAAUCCCACUAGUUUAGGUCCUAAUUACUAGAAUUCAUGAUAGUUUCGAAAAUUACUUCUUGUACCAUAUUUCUUCCUUUAGAUACAUGUAUCAUUACUCGUCAGAUACAUGUAUCCAACAAUUUUAAAAAUCGAGAUACAUGUUUAAUUAAUUCACAUGGACAAUUAAUUAAUUCUGGAAAUAUUAAUCAAAUUCCUUAAUAUAAAUCAAGGAGUGUAUCUUUGUUUAAUUAAUUUCAUUUUAUUACUCUUUAUAAUAAUAAAUUCAUUAAUAUUAUUAAUAAAAGACAAAAACAUGUAUAUCUUGAUUAUGAAAUUUGACUAAUUUCAACUUAUUACUCUUAAAAUAAUAAAUUCAUUAAUUUGAUGUAUUUAUUAUCAAUAGAUGAUAUAUCCAAUAAAAUAAACACUUAGAUACAUUAGUGUACGGUAUCUAGUAUUAAUUCACGUAUCUAUUUAUACGAUCUAAUAUUAAAUUCAUGUAUCUAGUAUUAAUUUGAUGUAUCAAGUAUCAAUUUCAUACGUUAUAUCCAACAACUUGUAUCUCGAAUACAUAUUGAUAAGGAGAUACAUUUAAUUAUGUGUAUCUAAUUAUGAAAUGUAACUAAAACACAUGAAUUUAGGAACAAAUCAUGAUUGUAGAGUAUUUGUCUAUCAUUAAUUUAAAAAAAAUCAAAAUUAAUACCCAAGAAAGAUUAGAUACAUGCAUACUUAAUAAGAUACACUGAUAAAACUAUAUACUUAUAAACUAGAUACAUAUAAUCACAAAAAUUAUGUGUGAGAUACAUCGAUAAUGUAUUGAAACUUUUCGAUUACGUUAGUGGUUGCUCAGGACAUCUCACCACGGCGGUGUUUGCUUCACUUUUAAUUUAUCGAUGUUGCUCAUUGCUCGCUGCGAUUAGAUCUAACGGACCUCCGCCAGAUCAACCGAAAAAUCAACAUAAGCACUCCUCCAAUUGAGCCUUUCGACCUCCAAAUCGCCUCCGACGUUGAUGUGAUCUCCGGAUAGUAACAAUUUGAAAACGAAAGGCUAUAGAUUAAUUAUAUGAAUAUGCAUUGAUACAUUUAAUUUAAGGAAGGUAAGAAGCAAGAAAUUGAUGAACAACUUGUACAUAACUUCUGGUUGGUGACCCGCAGAAACAAUUUUAGGAGUAAAAAUGGUGACUAAUCGUUAAUUAGUAGGGGGGGGGGGAGAUAUUGAUAGGGUUGAAGAUUGGUUGUUAUUAAAACACUAAUUGUGGAUUUUAAAUAUAAAGAUAAUUAAUCAAUCCUAAUUUUAAGAGAUGUGGGUAUCUUUUUUAUUGUAUCUUAAAAAAUAUAUGGUAUAAAAUAUUAAAAGUGGUAAUAUAUGUAAUUGUUUGAAAGUAGAGGCAAAAUGUGUAUAUAUGGUAGUGAUGUAUGUCAAGUUAGGUAGUUUUUCCUUUUAGUUUUUGCAAAAGAAAAAACAGGUGAAAAGAUAGAUACUCCAAUACUUCCAUUUUCGAAGUCCAUGCCCUCUAUAUAUCCACUCUUAAUAAUACACAUCAUUAGACUUGAGAUGUAUAAUUAUUAGUUGAGAAAAUACAUAAUUAUCUUAUCGAACUUAUACCAGUUUUUUGAAGUAGACACCUAAAGUUUGUGUGAGUUUUAUUACCCCACGAAAUUAUUUUAAAGUAGCAUAUAUACCUCCUUUUUCGGUCAUUUUCAGUUGAAAUAAGGCAGGUGCAAAUCACGCACCAACCCUAAUCUACCACUUGUCAUUCACUAUUUAACUUUUAAUUCUUUUCAUUUUUUGCCUUUAAUUUUCUAUUUUAUUUCCUUUUCUUUUCUUUUUUGAAUUUUUUCUCUUUUAAAUUUCUACUUUGCCUCUGAUUUCUUAAAUUUGUUUUUUGAAUUUCACCACCACAAAUCAUAGUGACAACACUUCAACAUUGCACUACUUAAUCACUACUAAGUCAUGACAAAUAAUCAAAUAUGAAAAUUAGAAGUUCUAUCAAACCAAAAUUUAAAGUGACAACACUCCAUCAUUGCACUACUUAGUCACUACUAAGUCAUGACAAAUAAUCAAAUAUGAAAAUUAGAAGUUCUAUCAAACCAAAAUUUAAAUCAUCAUCUUCAUCCUAAAUCGCCUUCUUUAUCUAUUAGCAUCACCAUUUUCGAUCUUUAAGUUUUAGGAAAGAGAAAACUAUUUAUUUAAGUUUUAAAAAGAGGAAGAUAGAAUCUAAUAAUAUCGCAUUUUAAAAUACAAAAUUUGAGAAAGAAUGGUGAUUUUUAAUUUUCGGUGGCUUCUUAAAAGGCUAUUAAUGGUGAUUUGGGGAAGAUGGAUCUAAUUUAUUAAUUAGAAAAAUCAAAUUAAAAAUACCACAUGGUAUUUUAACACUGGUUUGGGGCUGUAAUACUACUCCUUCACACGCUCAAUUUUUGUGAGAAAACAAUUACAAUAAAAAUGGCUGAAAAGGGUGUAUUUAUCGUGAAUAUAAAUAGUUUCGUGGGGUAAUAAAACCCGCAUACUUUAGGUGUCUACUUUAAAAAAGGUAGAAGUUUAAUAGGGUAAUUAGGUAUUUUCUCUUAUUAGUUUAAAAUUCUUUCAAAUUAGACUUCGUGAAUACAGACUAUUUAACUCAAGAAUAUAACCUCAGAUUCCACUCAAACUUUAAACUGGAUUAAAUUUCAUGACCACCGGAUUAUUGCCAUACGUUCCCCUAACAGGAACAACCACGUUCAUUUUCCCCUCCAAUCUCCUCCAACUUAUCUUCAUUAUCAAAUUAACUAUAUACUACCUUUUUCGUUCUGUUUUUGGUCUAUCUUCACACAAAUGUUGCUAAUUUUUAUAAAUUAACUUUGAUGCGAAGAUGGUAAAAAAGUUAAAAAGAGGAUUGUCCAAAUCAUAUAAACGUAUAAUAAUACUGGAACAAACAAUUUGAUGAAAAAAUAUGAAAUAAAGGAGAAUGAUAAAUUGAUUGUGUGAAAUAGUUGAACAAAAUAUGUGAGAUGUUAAAUUAGAAAACAGGAAAACAAAACCCCAAAGUCAGAUUACAAGAUCAUGAUCUGUUUCCAUGGUUCAACUACGACUACUAGUAGUAACUGUAUUUCAACAAGUAUCCCUAACAAACAUCGAUCUCCAUAAACCACACAACACCGCUCAAACCCCACCUUGAAGAAACCAAGAAAACUAAAAUAAAAACUCACCUAAAUAAAAAAGAACAGUUCUAAACCCAUAAAGAUAUUCACAAUUUUUCUUCUGAUAAAAGCACAUGCAAGUGUGCAUGUUCUCUAUACGUAGACAAGCACAAGGUGGCAAGUAUUAUUAGUGGUUCGGCAUAUAGAUUUACUUCUUUACCCUUCAGGUGGAGUUGAUAUUACUUUAAUUACGUACCGCCCCAAGGAAAGAGCUGCUUCUGUAUCCAACCUCCAUGCAAAUCCUCCGCCGUCCAUUCUCCACACAUCACACGGAAGAAUCAAUGAGUUCUUCUCCUUCCCGCAUCUGACAACCCGAACCCGGCAAGUGAACGCCGCCGUGGAUUUGUUAUCCGGCAGCCGUACAUCAUCUUUCAUCACGAGCCAAACCACCACUUCCCCUGCCCCUUCACCCACCAUCGCCUUAUACGCCUUGUUGGCCCACCUUACUCUGUUUAAACCGUCUGAUAUAAAACCUGGACAGCUGUCCCGCUCCAGAUUUAUCAGUUUUUCCUCAUCCGUACGUCCUAGCCCAUACCCUUCCACCCACGCGUCUGUCACGCUUUCCACCUUUACCCAUGACCCCACUACUCGUACUGGCUGAGGAAACAUCACUCCUCCAUACCCCUGGGACUGACCAUUAUUAUUCUCUUGGUUACCACCAAAACUCAACCAGAUCGGAGAAUUUUUUUUCACUACGUCAACCGAACGAUCCUUCCUUUCAGGGCUCUCCGAUAACAAGGGAAGAGUUACUACCGUUUCUCCACCAGACACCGUUUUCCCACUGGAUUCAUUUUCUUCAGGCGACGGAGCUUUCCUUUUCCUACCACUAGGACUACUCCCGCUAUUAGAUCUCUUGCUAUUAUUACUAUUUUUAUUAUUCUCCUUAACAUACCUUCGCUUCCACCGUCCAGUACGAACCGGAACCUCAGUCUUUUGUGGUGGAGUAGUAGUGCCGGAAACAGAACUACCGGCUGCUGCUGGUUUAGGUGCGAUAGGUCUGAAUUUAAGCAUUAUCCUAUCCACUUUUGACAUAUCGUACGCACCUCCUGCGUACCUAGCAAUACAGCACCCUCCCCUCCCAUCCAUUUAUGGAGUUUUAGGAAAAUGAGAUUUCUAUUUCUAUUGUAAGAGUAAUAAACUUUUGAUAUUGAUAGGAAUGAAGAGAGGAGUAAAAGGAGGGGAGGUGAAUUUAUAGGUGGGAAGAGAGAAGGGAGGACGCGUGUGAGGGAGUUGAUUAACACGUGGGAGAAGAGCGGUGAAACAGCGCAGAGAGCUGAUUGGCUAAUGUUAUAACGUGGCGCUAUGUUAAGGUGAGCCCCAUGUGACAGAACCCUAUCGGGUUGAGGGGUUUAGGAUGGGCCCGGUUUUGUACUAUCCAAUGAGAAUGCAGGGAGUGUUUAGUAUGGUAUCAAAAGAGGUACACGUAGGCCUAUUACGGUAGUCUUGUGGGAGGUGUAUAGUGGAGUAUGUUCGAGAAGAAGAACACGUGGUCCAAUGGUUAGAGAAUCCCGUUAGACUCUCUAUAACGAUUGCACCACGUGGACGGCAGAUUCUACCAGCAAAAAUGGUGGGUUCAAUGGACUGAUAUUUUGACAAGAGCAUGGACCAUUGUUUUUUCAUUUUUUACUCUCUCCGUUUUAAAAGAAUGAUUGAUAUGAAAUUUAACACAAUAAAGAAAAAAAAUUAAUUUUAAUAUUUUAAAUUAAAGCUAUAUAAUAUUCAUCAAAUUAUCUUUUAAUAUUGUGCCCUUAAAUAUAUAAUAAGGAAAAUUGAAAAUGAUUUAUUGCCAAAAAUAAUAAGAGAGAUCAUUGUUUUAGAACAGAUUAAAAAGGAAAAUAUGUCAAUAUUUUUUAAACGAAUAAAUUAUUAAUUUCAUCCAAUUUUUAUAUUGAGAUGUAAUUAAAUUUGUAAACAUUACAUAAUUUAUUUUUGAAGACAACAAUCCUAACAUGCCUUAUUAUUCGAGGUUUAGAUGAAUGAUCUCUGUCAUCUCACCAUAAUCUAUAUUGGUCAUGGACCUUUGUUAGGAAAAUGCAUUAUGUUAUUAAAUCGCAUACAUUAUUGGUGUAAAUAAUGAUCUAUAUUAUCAAUUUUACUUAAUAAUAUUUAUAGGUGAAAAUUUUAAAACUAAAUCUGUAAUUUUUAAAAUAAAACAAAUUAUUAGCGACAAAUACAAUAAAUACAAGUAGUUUGAUAAUUAAUGUAAAAGUUUCUUACAUUUAGGGUAUAUUUAUACUUAAUGGGUGAACAAGUUAUUCUAGUAUUAGAAUGCCUAGAUUACAGUAUGAGAUUAAUUGGCUAAUGAAUACAUUUUUAUUUCAUAAAUGUUUGAUUCAUUGAACUAAAAUGAAUAAAAAUGAUAUUAUAUAAAUAUCAAGUAUAGACAAACUUUUAAUCUAAUUUACAUGUACUAAUACAAAAUAUGUAUUUGAAGAAGGACAAAUGUGUUAUUGUUUUAUUUUAUCCCAAGAUUAAUAAUUCCAAAAUAAUUACUAUUUACCCUAUAGUGUUGUACGUAUAGGAAUAAUAUCACGUUUAUGGCAUAAAAAAUAAUUCCAGAGUUACUAAUUACUAAAUCAGAACUGUACUGUCAUACAUAAAAUAAAUUAAAUCCACAAUUUAUUCUGGUAUUAUUUCCUAAUUUCACUAACAAAUUAAAAAAAUGACCCCUUUGGACACUGAUUUAUCUGACGUAAAAAUUUGAUUAUUGGAUUUUUAUAAACAUUAUUUAGAAUGAGACAGAAUAUUUGUUCACUGCCUUACUGGGUAUAUAUUGAAUUGACAACACAAGGAACAAAUAGACAGUGUUCAGUUCUAGUCAAGAUUAAUCUUACUCAAAUAUAAAUGAAGUAACUUACCAUUAUACCAUACUAUAUAGUAUUCAUUUCUUUUAUUUUCAAUAAGGUGAACAUAAAUUGCAGACAUUUCCUAUACUAUCUACUUGAGCUUUUACAUUUAUUUACUCAAUAAAUAAAUAUAUAUAAACUAAAGAUCUUGUUCAAAAUUUUCAUAGUUGUACGUCUUGUUAGCCUAUGAGAUGUUUUAUUACGAGAGUUUUAUUUGAUAAGUUGAUCUUCUAUGAGAUUUUUAUUACGAGAGUUUUAUUUGAUAAGUUGAACUUGUGGAUCAUGUAAGAUUAAAUAUUUUAAUACAUAAUAUCAGGAUCUUGAACACGAUAAUCUUACAUAGAGAUUGUUAGGGGCACAUACCUGAUGCGGAAGACAUCAUCACAGAGAGAAGCGGAAGCGUUAGUCGUAAAUUGGUUUCUACCUCCUUGCCCUACCUUUAUGUUACCACAACCGUCAGCGAUGAAAUUAUUGUAGAUAAUAUGUGAUAACCCUAAUGGGUGGAGGGAUGACCAAUUUAUAGAGGUUAUGACUUAAUCUGGUAUGUCCAUCAAGUAACCAAUGUACGGACGAGAUCUAAUUCCUUAUUAAAUAUUAUUUAUGAUAUUACUUGGGUUACAAGUAAACUUGGGCCAUAAGUAAGAAAUAAUUAAUAAUAAUUAAUAAUAAUUCUUACAUUCUCCCACUUGGCCCAAUGACCAUAUUAAUAUUUCAUAAACAUUAGUUGCGCGUAUAAUAAAUCUCUUCUAUAAUGUCCAUCAUACAUACCACAAUAUAACAAACUACUAAUGCGAGUUAUGGCGGUUGUACAUAAAUUUUAAGCUACAUANNNNNNNNNNNNNNNNNNNNNNNNNNNNNNNNNNNNNNNNNNNNNNNNNNNNNNNNNNNNNNNNNNNNNNNNNNNNNNNNNNNNNNNNNNNNNNNNNNNNNNNNNNNNNNNNNNNNNNNNNNNNNNNNNNNNNNNNNNNNNNNNNNNNNNNNNNNNNNNNNNNNNNNNNNNNNNNNNNNNNNNNNNNNNNNNNNNNNNNNNNNNNNNNNNNNNNNNNNNNNNNNNNNNNNNNNNNNNNNNNNNNNNNNNNNNNNNNNNNNNNNNNNNNNNNNNNNNNNNNNNNNNNNNNNNNNNNNNNNNNNNNNNNNNNNNNNNNNNNNNNNNNNNNNNNNNNNNNNNNNNNNNNNNNNNNNNNNNNNNNNNNNNNNNNNNNNNNNNNNNNNNNNNNNNNNNNNNNNNNNNNNNNNNNNNNNNNNNNNNNNNNNNNNNNNNNNNNNNNNNNNNNNNNNNNNNNNNNNNNNNNNNNNNNNNNNNNNNNNNNNNNNNNNNNNNNNNNNNNNNNNNNNNNNNNNNNNNNNNNNNNNNNNNNNNNNNNNNNNNNNNNNNNNNNNNNNNNNNNNNNNNNNNNNNNNNNNNNNNNNNNNNNNNNNNNNNNNNNNNNNNNNNNNNNNNNNNNNNNNNNNNNNNNNNNNNNNNNNNNNNNNNNNNNNNNNNNNNNNNNNNNNNNNNNNNNNNNNNNNNNNNNNNNNNNNNNNNNNNNNNNNNNNNNNNNNNNNNNNNNNNNNNNNNNNNNNNNNNNNNNNNNNNNNNNNNNNNNNNNNNNNNNNNNNNNNNNNNNNNNNNNNNNNNNNNNNNNNNNNNNNNNNNNNNNNNNNNNNNNNNNNNNNNNNNNNNNNNNNNNNNNNNNNNNNNNNNNNNNNNNNNNNNNNNNNNNNNNNNNNNNNNNNNNNNNNNNNNNNNNNNNNNNNNNNNNNNNNNNNNNNNNNNNNNNNNNNNNNNNNNNNNNNNNNNNNNNNNNNNNNNNNNNNNNNNNNNNNNNNNNNNNNNNNNNNNNNNNNNNNNNNNNNNNNNNNNNNNNNNNNNNNNNNNNNNNNNUGCAUUAGCAACUUAUCAUACUAGGUUCAUAAGCUAUAAAAACAUAUAACAUUAUGGUCCAUAAUAAUGUCUCAUAGAGACUUAUCUUGUGAUAUCUCAAACAAUAAUGUGUACACCAUUAUGAGAAACAAGAAAUUCAUUAAUGUAUAUCAAAAACACAUAAUAUGAGCUCAGAGUGUAAAAACAUCAUAAAUCUAUCAAUAAUAAGUACAACCAAGAUCCAUUAUUUGAACAUGUUCUUUAAAUGUCUUUGGUUGUAAGCCUUUUGUUAACGGAUCUGCAAUCAUGAGAUCAUUUCUCUUUGUUUCUGAACUUCUUCUUUAACAGUAAAGUACUUUAAUUCCAUAUGUUUGGCACAUUUGGAGUAUUUAUCGUUCUUGGAGAAGAAUAUUGUUGCAUCAUUAUCAUAAUAAAUUUUCAGCGGCUUGGUAAUGGUGUCGACAACCCCAAGUCCUGAAAUGAAGUUCCGCAGCCAUAAUGCAUGAAUUGUGGCUUCAUAACAUGCCACAAACUUUCUUUGCAGUCUUUCAUUAAUCUAUUCUAGGAUUACUUUGAUAUCUUUCUAGCAUUCCGACUGCAAAUUAAUAUCCGAUCUUGUACAAGUUUGAACAUACAUCAAACUUCCAACAUUAGAAGAUGAAUGAAUUGAUUUCAUUUUUUUUCGUUCUACAACAUUCUUUGGGCAUUGCAUGAGAUUAAAUUUGUCCCAUUUUUUGAAUAGGAACUAUUCUUGCUGAACAAUUGUUCAUGUUAAAUCUCUCUAAAACUCUUUCGAUAUAGCCUUUUGAGACAGUACCAAUAAUCCUUGUGAUCUAUCACAAAAUAUUUCUAUCCCUAUCGCAUAGGAUGUCUCACCCAUAUCUUUCAUUUCAAAGUUCAUAGAGAGAAAGUUUUUCGUCUCACGCAAUAUGCUUAAAUCAUUAGCAGCAACUAAAAUGUCAUCAACAUACAGGACUAAAAUAUAAACUUACUCCUACUGAUCUUUUAGGUAUAUACACCGAUCAACGGUAAUCUCCUUAAAUCCCAAAGAUGAUAUGGUAUCAUUAAACUUUAUAUACUAUUAUCGUGAGGCUCGUUUGAGUCCAUUUAUUGACUUCUUUAGCGUACACACCAUUUGAUCUUUUCCUUUAAUUUUGAAACCCUCUGGUUGAUCCAUAUAAACAUCCUCCUUAAGGUUUCCAUUAAGAAAGACAACUUUCACAUCCAUUUGAUGUAACUCUAAAUCAUAAUGAACUACCAAAGCUAAAACAAUUCUUAAUGAGUCUUUCUUUGAGAUAGGUGAAAAUAUCUCUUUAUAUUCAAUGCCUUUUUUUUUUGAGUGUAUACCUUGGCAACAAGUCUGGCUUUAUAUCAUUCAAUAUUACCAUUAGAAUCGCGUUUGGUCUUGAAGACCCAUCUACACCCGAUUCUUUUAGAACUUUCUGGUAAUUGAACAAGAUCUCAAACUUUGUUGUAUUCCAUAAAUUUUAACUCUUCAUUCAUAGCAUCAAUUCAUUUAUCAGACUCAGCGCUUUCUAUGGCUUGUGAAAAUGAAAUCGGAUCUUUAUUAAUUCCAAUGUCAAAAUCUGACUCUCGCAAAUAAAUCAUGACCGAUUUUCUUAAUGGAACUGUUUGUGGUUCAUUUGCGUUAGAUACUUGUGAGUUAGUUCAUUCUUGAAGUGUUUCACCCAAAUAUUGUUCAAUAUUGUUAAAGUGUUCUUCAACAAGAGGAACAACAUUUGUGAUUGGUGCGGAAGUAGGUACAUUCAUGGGCAAUGAAAUAUUUACCCUUCCCUCAUUAAUUUCCAUGCUUUGUCGUUCAACACUCCCACUUACUUCACCAUUCUCAAGGAAUUUUGCGAAUGGACUUAAACAUUGUUCUGAUUCGUUAUACUUUUCAUAUUAUUCACCACUCCUAUCUGACCUCAUGAUUUUCACUCUCCUAUCUAAUUGUCUUUCAACCUCAUUGAUGUACACUUUGAGAGCUUCCGCUGCUUGAGAUUUUCUUUCAACAAAUAGAUAAAUCCAUAACGUGAAAAGAUACCGAUAAAGGUGAUAAAAUAUUUUUCUCCACCUAAAGAUGGAACAUCAAAGGGUUUGCAAAUAUCAGUGUGUAUAAUUUCAACAAGCUGAGUGCUUCUUGUGGCACCUUUCUAGGUAUGCUUGGUUUGCUUUCCUUUAAUGCAAUCCAAACAUAUAUCAAGAUCAAUAAAAUUCAGAUUCGGAAGAAUCUCGUUCUUUACUAUCCUUUUUAAUCUUUCUUUGGAUACAUGACCUAAACGUUUAUGCCACAAAUAAGAAGAACUUUCAUUUAGUGAACUACAUCUAAUUAUUAUUGAGUUUGAAUCUAUAUAAACCAUCAAUAAGAACACCAGAGCCAUAAAAAAUAGUAUUCUUAUAUAAAUUAAAACAACCAUGUCCAAAUUUAAAAUCAAAUCCAGAAACAUCAAGUCUUGAAAGAGAAAUCAAAUUCUUAGAAACUGAAGGAACAUAAAGAGUCUGUAAUAGAUCAAGGUGAUGUCGAGUCUCCAAGAUCAAACGAUAAGUCCCUAUGCCUUCAAUUUUAGCUUUCAUGCGAUUUCCCAUGAACAAGAAAUUUUUAUUUGGAUUCAUAGUUUGGAUCAUAGUGAAUCCCUGCAACAUAGUGGAUAUAUGAGUAGUUGCACUAGAAUCAAGCCACCAAGUAUUAUGAGGAACUUCUAAUAAAUUUGAUUCGAAACAUACAAAGGCACUAAAUGUACCUUUCUUUUCAACCCAAGCUUCACAUUUCUGGCAAUCUUUCUGAUAGUGUCCUUCCUUUUUACAGAAACGACACACAUUAGCCUUGAGUUCCUUAUGAGCAUCUUGUGGAACUUUAGCAGGUGCUUUGUUUUUCUUAAACUUGUUGGCUUUCACUUUAAAUCCUUUACCAGCUUCUUGACCCAUGAGGUUAAUGGAAUGACCUCCUUGUUUCUUACGUCUUGACUCCUCUUGAAUAAGUAUACUGGAGAAUUCACUAACAUUCCACUUAUCCUUAAUAGUGUUAUAGUUAAUUUGGAAUGGUCUAUACUCAAGAGGCAAUGAGUUCAGAAUAAACUGAACCAAGAAGGUGUCAUCCACUUUCAUCCCUAAGGUCCGAAGUCUUGCUGCAAUAUUGGUCGUCUUGAUGAUAUGAUUUUGCAUACUACACGACCCAUCAAAUUUCAUGGUCGUUAGUUCAGCCAUUAGUGUACCAGCGAGAGACUUAUCAACAGAAUGAAAACGUUCUUCCACAAACUUCAGGUAUUCCCUGGCACUUUAUGUUUGUGGAAUAGUACUCUUAAUGUUGUUAGCAACAAUCAUUCGCAUGAACAUAAGACUCAAUCUGUUAGAGCGCUUCCAUGAUUUAUGAAAAGACUUCUCAUCCUCACCGCUCUUAUCAGUAAUGACAGUAGGUUUGUCAUUUAGCAGAGCCAAGUCAAGAUCCAUCACACCUAAGUAAAACUGGACUUGUUCAUGCCAUUCAGAGAAGUUCAAUCCAUUGAACACAAUAACAGACGAAGCAUGCGAAUGAAGAGGAAUAACUGCAAAAUAUAUAUAUAUGCUCACAAAUAAGAAAAUAAUGUGAAUUCAGUAAAACGAUAAAAAUGUAUCGUAAUUCUCCUUUGGGUAGAUACUACGACACAUUAUUAUAAUUUAAAUGUCAUUUUUAUCUUUAUUAGGUAAUUGAAUUUUUUUAAUCAAACAUUUACGACAUCUUUGGAUAUACAAUAUAUGUUUGACUAAAAUAUUAAUUCACCUCAUAAUUUUCACUAUUCGUAGAAUGAUAAAUUCACCUUUGGGUAAAUUCAUAAGUUUUAGCAAUAAUGAAAGUCAAUUUAUCUAUUUAUUUUUCAAUAUAUAAGCAUUUAAUUAACCUUCAUAGAUAAAUGACAAUUUCAUGAGUGCAUAUAUCUCUUAACCAUACUAGUUUGACCACUUUGGUGACUAACAAACUAUAUGGAUACAAAUGCAUACAUAAUCUCAUAAAAUUUUGUGCAUGUGAAUAAUUUUAAACAUUUUAGUACGGCCACUUUGGUGACUAACAAACUAUAGAAACAUAAUACAUGCAUCAAGUGAUCAUAAAUAUUAUAUGUGUAGAUGCUAGUUUCUCUAGUUUGGCCACUUUGGUGACUAACAAACUAUAGAAACAUAAUACAUGCAUCAAGUGAUCAUAAAUAUUAUAUGCAUGUGUAGACGUUAGUUUCUCUAGUUUGGCCACCUUGGUGACUAACAAAACUAUAGAAACAUAAUACAUACAUCAAGUGAUCAUAAAUAUUAUAUGCAUGUGUAGACGUUAGUUUCUCUAGUUUGGCCACUUUGACUAACAAACUAUAUUUCACUAAGUACACAUAUUAUUUAUUGCUUAGUAUAACAACCACUUUAAUUUUUUGCACAAUCUAAAAUAAAACAUAAUUAUUACAUUAUGAGAAGAUUAAGUUUUUUCAGAAUUUGUGCAAUCUAAAACAAAACAUAAUUAUUUAUUUAUUUGGAAGGAAAUUCUUCAGUAGAAUGGUGAACUUAACGCCUUAAUGAUGACAGGCACAAUGUAGGAGAAAACAAGAUACGUAACUCGGCCAGACAUAUUACAUUAACAUAGAAAAUAAUUUCUCAUUAUUAAUAUGCAAACAUAUUUUAAUUAUAACAUUACUCUUAUGAAAAUAUGUAUUUCAUACAUAAUUGAUAAUUAAUGGUACUCCAUUAUUUAAAUAAGUCAUUAGAUCUUUUAUACAAUAAGACAAUAAUUUGUAUAAAGAAUCUCCGGGAAGUUCCGUCACCAAUACAUGCAAUCAAGCACUAAGAUACGGCGAAUACAUAAUUUUUAUUUCUUUUAUAUACGAAGAUUAUGUAAACACUUAAUUUUUUAUCGAACAUAAAGUUUUACACUACUUUUUUAUUCCUUAAAUAUUUCUUUUAUGUUUAAGUUAGAUAUUUUGAUUUUGACUUAUUUUGGUAAGUUUAUUUUUAAAAAAAUUUGAAAAUAACAAAAAUAUAUGUUUUAUUUUAAUUUAAGGUUUAAUAAAUGAAAUAGUAUUUCUUGAUCAUAAUUAUUGUCAGUUCACAAAAUAUUUAAAUAAUAUUCUUAUAUUAUAUUAUAUUAUAAAAAAAGUAACCUAAAAGUAACCUACACUACCCCCGCACUCACCCACAUUUCACCCCACUUCUCCCAUUGCCCCUCACACUACCCACACAACACACACAAUACAUACUCCUACACCCCCUAUAAAUACCAACAAAACCCAAAAAAAAAAAAGGAUCAGAAACGCAUCCCCAUAUAUACAAAACCAAAACAUUUUCUUUUUCUCUCCAGUAACACAUGCACACAUUUCCUUUUCCUAACAAAAAAUGAUAUGUGUAGUUAUGGCUUAAUAAAUUGAAAUGAUGAGAAUAAUUAAUGACAAAGAUUCAUUAGGUAAAGAUGUUAAUUUUAGUUAGUAGAUUUUUCUUUUCAUGUUAAUGACAUAAAAAAAAAAGAUCAAAAGGUUAAAAACAAAAGAAGGAGAAAACGCAAUUAAAAAAAAAGGUUAAGUGAAAAUAAACAAAAAUGUACAGAAUGUUAAAAAAACAUAAUGAUUUUUUUUUUAAAGAAAAGAGGAGCGGAACUUUUAAAAAAAAAGGUAAGUAAAAAGUAGAAAAAGAAAAAAGAAAAGAAAAAGAGGAAUAGAAUAUGUGUCAAAAACAGAAAAAUAAGAAAAAAUAAAAAUGAAGCAUUGGAAGUAUAAUAAUGAUAAUUAUAAUAAUAAUAAUAAAAUAAUAAAAAGGUAAAAAGAAGAAAAAGAAAUGUAAUAAUAAUAAAUAAUAAUAAAGAAAAAGAAAAAAAAAUCUCUUAAUUUUACUCUAUUUUGUUUGAGUAAAUUUAUGCGCGUAUAUAUAUUUUUAAUUAAUGGACAUAUACUAAUAAAAUAAGGUAGUUUUAAAUAGGUAUAAAAUAAAUCAAAGAGUGAGGGUAAAUUUUUUUAUUUUAUUAUUAAGCUAAUAAUAUAGUAUCCAAAAAUUAAGUCAAAUUAUAUAAAGGUCAAUAAAGUGACCUUGUUAGAACUACGGAAUUCGAGGGAUGGCUAAUAUCUUUCCCUCGGUCAAUAUAUUUUCUUACCCGAUCUAUGUUUUAGCAGACCAAACAAAAUAAAGAGUCAAAUCUCUUUUUUAUUAGGGAUUUAAAUAAGGUGACUUGGAACACCAAAACUCAAUUCUAAGUGACGACCCUGCUUAAUAAAAUAAUCUCUUUUCAAAAUGUCACUCUAAUUGGAAAAAACUCUUUUCUUUCAAAACAAUUAAUUUUGAGGGAAAAAUAGGGGUGUGACAGAUGACGACUUCGCUGGGGAUAACCAGAAUUCGAGCUUGUAAAUAUUGAUUUAUGUAUGACUUUUAUUUAUUUAUGUUUUUGGAUAUUUUAUUUGUUGGCCUAAUAUAUUAAUGUCUACUUAUUCACUAUUUUGAUAUUAUUUGAAUUGUAUAUAAAUUGUUUUUGUCUCGCACACCACUCUGAGUCUUCAAUAAUAUCAUAAUGGGAAUUGCGACUGCACACCACACUUCUGUCAAUAUAGCCAGUGGAUCUUCAGUCCAUGGUGAAAGAUUUUGUCUCACUUGUUUAGGAUGGAGAGCACCCAUGCACAAAGCCGAAAAGCGUUGCUACCGAUAUAUUACUACUCCCUAACUCGAAUUAUUCGCUCGUUUUACAACACGGCUAGACACCAAAAUCAUAAGGACUUUAAAACCUAGUUGAACAAGCCUCAUAUAAUGAUUAUCCUUAGUAGGAUACACUUUGUUUGCAUCAUGAGCAUUUGAAUUUUGUAUUUUUACCAUAAAAUUUCCUAAAGAAAAAUAGUUUCAAAAGUAGAGUAUAUUUUUAAAAAAAAAUUAACAAACUACGCACAUCUAAUUCUCACCCCGAUGAGAUACGUAGGCAACCCUCUUUGGGAUCUGUGAUCUUUAUUCAAAAAAAAUUUAAAAAAAUCUUUUUAAAAAAAAUUCAAAAAUUCAAAAUAAAGAAGCUUUAAUCUUUCUCAAAAUUAAGUUUUUCUUAAUUUUCUUUUAAUAAUUCAAAAGAAAACUAAAUGAUUUUUUCUCAAAGCUCUAAAAAGAAAAAAACUUAGUCAUUGAGUUUUAGAAAAAUAUGCAAUGGUCUUAUUCAAGAUCUCAAGCAUGUUACGAAUUUGAUGAAUGUAUUAUCAAAUCAUUUAAAACAAAAACUAAUUUAAGAAAUGUCUAACCCUAACAAACUUUAUCGUCCAUGCAUACAGUUAAAUUAAGGUGGUUGGUUUGUGGUUAAGCUAACAUCUCAUUCCUAUAAUACAAGGUGAAAAGGCAAAAAGAAAAUGACUCACAAAGACUGAAAUGAGUCAGACAAUGAUGAGGUUCAAAACCAGAUGAUUUCACAAGAAACAGUGUCAACAGAAGAGGUAAGGAUAUUAAGACAACAAAUGACGGAGAUGUACGAAGCUUGGAUGAGUGGACAAGCUCCACCGUCUUCAAUUCGUGACUAUCUAAAUACAAAUAUGUCACCGCUUGACCAAGCGUCGAUAAGUGAUCCAGUUUAUCCACCUGGAUUCGGCCCCUAUUCUAGCGUAUCCAAUGUAGCUGGAACUUCCACGAUACUCCCUUUAAAUACGCCUAUGAUAAAUAAUCCGCUCUUCAUGCCAACUGCGCCGACUAAUAGCUUCCCUCAGCCUAUAAUGAAGCCAAAAUCUAACAAUGAUCCUCCACCCAAAGUUCAAUAUGAUCGAGAUUAUACUCAUGAAUUAACUUUUAAAAUUUCAAGCUCUUACCCUCACACUCAUCAACAUAGUUCCACUGUUGAAAUCUGAAAAAGUUAUUAAGAACGAGUAACAUGAAGAAAUGACUAGAAAGAUGAAGAGUUUGGAACAGAGUGUAAGAGAUAAGCAAGGAUUGGAAGGUCACAAAAGUGUCUCAUUUAAUGAUUUGUGCAUGUUUCCCCACGUUCAUCUACCCAUCGAUUUUAAAACUCCAAAGUUUGACAAAUAUGAUGGACAUGGAGAUCCUGUAGCUCACUUAAAGAGAUAUUGUAAUCAACUGAGAGGGGCUGGAAGCAAAGAAGAAUUCCUCAUGGCCUAUUUUGGGGAAAGUUUGAUGGAAAUUACCUCAGAAUGGUUCAUAGAUCAAGAUACUUCUAACUGGCAUACAUGGGAUGAUUUUGCUCGAUGUUUUAUUCAACAAUUUCAAUAUAACAUUGAUGUAGUUCUGAAUCGUACUUCACUUGCGAACAUGAGGAAAAAGACUAUCAAAAACUUUCGUGAAUAUGCUAUUAGGUGGAGGGAGCAAGUUGCUAGGGUUAAGCCGCCAAUGAAAGAGUCUGAGAUGAUUGAUGUUUUUCUCCAAGCACAAGAACCAUACUAUUUUCAUUAUUUACUAUUCGUUGUUGGAAAAACAUUCGCCGAAGUUAUUAAGAUUGGUGAAAUGGUGGAAAAUGACAUCAAGUCUGGAAAAAUUGUAAGUCAAGCUGCUUUGAAAGCCACAACACAUGUGAUAAAAAAUGGAUCAUAAAAUCUUGGGGGAAAGAAAAUGAAAGAGGAUGUAGCAAAUGUUAUGUCAGACACACAAAAGGGUCUUAGGGGUCCAGUUUAUCAAUAUACACCACCUCAAUUCCAUCACUAUCUCCCUAUGCAAGACACACAAUAUUCUAUUGUUCCACCUAAAUAUGUGGUCUAUAAUGCACAAUAAUAUGCAUACACACCAAAUUAUCCUCAAUGGCGAGCGCCAACAUAUCAAAAUGUUCACCUUUCUUCUCAAAAUUUUGGAGCACCUUAUAAUCUCCGUCCGAGACAGGGAUUUGAAGGAGGUCCAAGGCCUAGAAACAAUUUUACAUACAAAUUGGAGAGUCUUACACAAGUUUAUUUAAUAAGUUGAAACAUUUGAAGAUGAUAGAGCCAAUUCCUCAAAAUUAUGUGGAUCCACAUGAAAAGGUUUUAAUCAUACAGCACGAUGUGCAUACCAUUCUGAUACUCCAGGGCACAGUAUUGAAGAUUAUCAUAAUUUUAAAAAAAAAGGUGGAAGAGAUGAUUCAAACAAAGAUGAUUGUGGUUCAAAAUGAUGACCCCCCAAAUGUUACUAAGAAUCCUCUACCGGUGCAUAAUGAUGUACACUUAAUCGAGAUGAUAUGUGAUGACAAAGAAUAUGACAAUUCUGAAGAAAUGACAAUUGAAAUUGGUGGAGCUUUUACGAAGGCUAACGUGUAAAGCAGUGGCUAAGAAGUCCAGCUUGGUGAUUGAGAGACACUCUUCUUUUCUCUAAAAAGAGUGUAUAGAUAGUUUAUUUUGUCAUCAUUUUUUCUAUGCAAUUCAUAUUUUUUAGUAAGUCAAACCUUUCUAUCAUAUCUCUUAUGCGUUUGUUUGUUGAGUCUUGUCAUAGUUUGGGUUAUUAUAGAGUUGUGACCUAAAUUUAGUUUGUUGUCUUGUCACCAAGUGUUUUUUAUUGUAAUAUAAUCUUUAUUAUGUAUCACUUUGAUCCGUUCUAAUUGGCUUUCCACAUAUGCAUCUCUUGUCAAUUCAAUUUUUUGACAUGAUAUGCAAGAGGAUUUGGUCAGAUCUUAAGAUUAUAUCUAGUUAUGGAAUAGAUACACCAAAGAAGUAAAAAAAAAAUACAUUCGAGGAAAUGAAUAAAGGACUUAAACACCUUGUUACGUCUUUUAGUAUCGAAGAUGCUUAAAAGAAUAAAUUUCAUUUAAAUUGACACAUGCCAUUUGUUGUCAAGAAGGUAUUAAUCAAAUGGAGAUUUCAAACUGACAAAUAUGAAACAAAAAUGAUAUACAUAUCCAUCAAUGCAUACGUUGCAAAGAGAUAAUGUAUGAUUUUCACUUCACAUCUUAAAGGGCAUGCUUGUAUUUGACAUUUUUAAUAAUUGAUAUGACAAAGACAUUUCAUUCUACUAUCCAAACACCGUGUAAUCCUUGCAAUCUCUUUUGAGCCUUAAUUUUAUUCUCUUUCAUACCCCUCUUUUGGAAUCAAAAUACAGUUAAAAAAAACGAGUCACAAAUUUUUUUAAAAAAAGAGAAGUCACAAAAAAGAGUCAAGAAAAAAGUGAAAAAAAGGGUUGAAAAAAAUAAUAACAACAAAAGAACAAACUUCCUGAACUACGUUCGAACUGAUUCUUACUUUGACAAGAUACGUAGGCAGCCUUAUUUUGAGGUUUGGUCCAAGCAAGAAAAAAUCUAGAAACCCCUCAUCACAAAAAUUGGGGAAAUAAUAAUAAUUAUGAUUAUUAUUAUUUUAUUUUAUUGUAUUUUUGUAAAAAAAAAUCGAUUUCAAAAGUUGUAAGUCUUAACCCUGUUACGUAGUAUCCUUGAGCUUUCAUGCCAAUCUUUUCCUUUUAACCCUGUCCAAAAGCCACAUUAUAAUUCAAAUAAAGACCUUCUGAUCAAUUUUUAACAAUGAUAAGUCAAGCAAGCUUUCAGUGUUGAUUACAUAAAGAAAAAUGUCAUGCCACUCGCAUAAGGAGUAAAAUGAGGGAAUCUUAUCGAUGAAAAUCCUUGAAAGCCUUAUAUGAGAUCAUUUGAGUUGAGAGAAAGUAAAAAAUGAGAGAGUAUUAUUGGUGAAAACUCUCAGGACACCGUAAGACGAUAGUGAGUGAGAGAUAAUAAAAAAGAAAGAGACUUGUCUGUGAAAUCUUUUCGAGGCACCACAAGUCAAGUGUUAGUCAUAAAUCUAGUGCAAAAGUUGGAUUAUAGAAGUAUGACUUCAAAGUUGAAAGUUUGACAAAGAUGAAGUUUGGAUUGAUUGGACAGACCAGGCCAUUAAAUCCAAAAUGCAUGUAUGAUCAUUAGAAAUGACCACCACUAUCAAUGGAGUUCAUUUUUAUUUUUUAUUUUUUAUUUUUUCUCAAAAGGAUCAAAUAUUAUUUAUUCUUAUUUUGUGUCGCUCAAUUCGAUAUUGAGAUAGUCUUCAUUAAAGCAAGAAGAAAAUGAUUUCAAAAUUGCUACCAUCUUUUCAAAUGCACAAAGCAAAGUUUGGUCAGCACAUCAAAUAUGACAUGAUUCAAGAUAUAUUGAUAUGCAUAGUAACUUGCCAACAAUUGACAAAUUUUGAGAAUUUAUAUGAAUACAAGAUUCAAUGAUUGUUGGAGGGUGGAAACAAUAUAGCAAGUAUGAAGUUGGAAGUUUCGAACAACUAGAGAUGUUUUCAAGAUUAUCAAGGUGAGCUGACUAGCAAACGAGAAUAGUCUAUCUCAGGCUAAAAUUUGCUUCAAACAUGGCAACAAUAGGAGCAACUAUCCUCAAAGCCAAUGCCACAAAUCGACCACCAUUAAAAAAAAUCAUAAAUUUUCCUUGUUUCUUUUUUAAAACAGGGAAAUGUUCCUGAAAUAAAAGAUAUCUUGAAGACUCAAAUUUAUUAACAUCAUUGCAAGUUAAAGAAAAAAUUUACAUGCAUUAUUUCUCCUAGGAUAAACAUUUUAUAGUCUGAGACAUUUAUUUCUCAUUUUCUCCUAGGAUAAACACUUCCUAGUCGGAGACCGUUAGUAUCAUUAAUUUUUUUUUCUCUUUCUUUCUCUUCUAGAAUAAACAUUUUCUAGUGUGAGACGGUUAUUUUUCAUUUUUCUCCUAGGAUAAUAAGACAUUUGAAAAUAAAAAAUAAAAAAAUUAAAUGUUAUGGUGAUUGUAUUUGAUAAUUCAGUUUGACAAAAUCUUCCUAAAUGAUGUGACUUAGUUUAAUAGGACCCUCCUACAUAAUGAGAUUAGUAGGACCCUCCUACAUAAUGAGAUUUAGAUUAGUAGGACCCUCCUACAUAAUGAAAUUAAUAGGACCCUCCUCCAUAAUGAAAUUUAGUUUAGCAGGACUCUCCUACAUAAUGGGAUUAGCAGGAUCCUCCUAAAAAUUGAGAUUUAGAUUAGCCGGACCCUCCGACAUAAUGAGAUUUAGAUUAGCAGGACCCUCCUACAUAAUGGGAUUAGCAGGACCCUCCGACUUAAUGAGGUUUAGAUUAGCAGGACCCUCUUACAUAAUGUGAUUUAGAUUAACAGGACCCUCAUAUAUAAUAUGAUUUAGAUUAGCAGGACCCUCAUACAUAAUGGGAUUAGCAGGACCCUCAUACAUAAUGAGAUUUAGAUUAGCAGGACUCUCCUCAUAAUGGGACUAACAGGACCCUCCUGGAUAAUGGGACUAGCAGGACCCUCCUCAUAAUGAGAUUAGCAGGACCCUUUUGGACAAUGGGAUUAGCAGGACCUCAUAUAUAAUGAGAUUUAGUUUAGAAGGACCCUCCUACAUAAUGAGAUUAGAUUAGCAGGACCCUCAUACAUAACGGGACUAGCAGGACCCUCCUACAUAAUGGGAUUUGGUUACUUUCUCCUAGGACAAACACUUCCUAAUAUGAGUUUAUUUAUUUAUUUUAAAUUCACAUUUGUUAAUAACUCACAAAAAUUUUCCAGUGAAAACUGGGGAGUUUUUUUUGUUUAUUUCUUAUGUUUCUGAUGGUUUUCAAGUUUUUUCAAGCGAAACAUGAAUUUGAAAUUUAAGAACAAAGUUUCAACUCUUUUCAGAAUAAUCAAUCUCCAUGAUAGCUAGAAUCAACUUCUUCAAUACAUGUAGCAGCCUGACUUCCUGAUAUCUAUUUAUAUUCAACUACUGAUCAAGAAAACAAGCAAACAUUUAAGAAUAUUUUUAAAUUGUCAUUCUGAAGAGUGCCAAAAGCUCGCUCUAAGCGGCGACAAGUUAAGCCUCAAUCCAAUUCAAGAUCAAGAUACUCACCCAAAAAUCAAGGUGAUGUCUGAAAGUCAAGACUCAAGUGAAGACUCAAGAGAAGCUGCAUAGAUAGGAGUUUGUACUGUUAUUUUCCUUUUGGCUAAUUAGUUUCAUUUUUUAUGUAAUUAAGGAUAAGAUCCGCGAUCUGGAGCCUCGAUGGAACCUCACUUAACUUCCAACUCAUCACCUCAUUUCCUUGAACUACAUGUGAUCUGAUUCCCUUACAACCCGGGAUAUGUAGGAUGUCAAAAACCAAGACUCGGUUGCAUAUUUUUAUUUAUUUAUUUAUUUAUUCAUUCAAAGAAGAGUCCAGUCAAAAUUUGUCACUCUGUUUACUUCUUUGUCUGAAAACUCUUCGUGUUUCCUGUCAAAGAAGGGCAAACUGUAGACACGUAAUUAAAUAUUAUUUAUGAUAUUACUUGGGUUACAAGUAAACUUGGGCCAUAAGUAAGAAAUAAUUAAUAAUAAUUCUUACAGCUCACGCCUCUUAUUUCAUUGUUGAUAUACUAAAUAAAUCUCUUGCUUUAAUUUAUUAUGUAUCGUAUUAACUCAUUAGUAAAUACUAGUACUUAACCGGCCAUUGCGUAAAAUGAAAUGAAUCAAUUAAUUAAUAACACUAAUUACUAGGUAGAUAUUGUGGUUGGUAAUUAAUUAGAAUAUACACAAAAACAUCCCGAUUAUCAAUAGUUCUUUUUUAAUACUUUAUACUACUUACUUCAUAUAUAUAUAGAAAGAAAAAAAAGAGAAAGAUCUAUAUAUGCACAGAUUUGGGGACAAGGACAUUUACCAAAGCCAUGUAAAUAAAUUAAUACUCCCGUUUUCCAGAAUUGUCAAAAUAUUACUACAAAAAAUACGUGUUGGUUGGUAGGAAGAUAUAUAGAAUUAUAGAUAGAUAAAUAUAUCUUCGUCAUCAGUCAAAUGGCGUGAUCGGGUUGUGACAUGUUCCCAUGACUAUAUGCAGUUAAUCUACAUCCAAAUAUCUACAAUCAUUCAUAUAUAUUUAAUUUAUUUUAUUUUGAAGAUAUGUAUUGUCAUAAAAAAACAAAUUAAAUAUGUAAGGAUUAUAUAUUACUGUAUUUAGAGAGUUCAAGUUUUUUUUAAAAAAAUAGGAGUAUAUAUGAUUUAGCAACAUUUUUACAUUUUAAAACAUAAUGUAAAAAUUUAUUGUAUAGAAGUAUGAUUUGAAGUCAUACUCAAAACAUUUAAGGUACAGAAGUAUCAUUGUAGUCAUAAUCAAACAUUUUAUAUGAAAUGUUGUCAUAAAAAGCUAAACUAAUUAAAAUAAAAUAAAAAUUAAAAAUAAGACGAUCAAAUUAAAAUAGAGGUAAUACUUACUUUUUUGUGCAAUUUGUAAAAAGAAUUACAGAAUAAGAGGAUCCUAUUAUGUUAUGAACCAUACACGAGUGAGUUGAUUGGACCAAUUAACAACUAAUAUUUCCUUUUUAAAGAAAUAAUAAUGGUGUUUGUUUUUCAGAGGAAAAAAUGAUUUGAUGCUAAUAGUACUAAUUAAUAAUAUUUUUAAAAAUAUUUGCACUGAACAGGUUACAAAGGAAUGCCAUCAAUAAUCAUGGAUUAUAUUCUUCUUUAACAGCUCAUAAAAGUUGAAACUCGUCUAAAGAAGAAGAACCAGUACACUUACAUAAUUUAUAUUAUUCCUUCUUUUUUUUCACUUCAUGAUUUACAUGAUUGCUCAAUCCUUAUGACUGAGCCAUUAAUUAGUUUUAUUACUGAGUUUACAAGUUAAUAUACAUAUAGAUUCAUUUAAUUUACUAAUACAAAUACAAAAUUUAUGAAAAAAUUAUUGGAUUUGUUCAAAUUCAUGAACCCCACCUAGUUGUGCCUCUAAUUGUAGCGCCAAAUUUUAUCUACCUACUUUAUGUUGGUAACUUUCAAUUAGUUGAAUAAUUCAAUUAUCUACCAUUUGUAAUAAUCAGAAAAAAGAAGACCAUACACAUAGACUUACGUUGCUUGAUCGGCUAAAAGUGCUUUUCAUUGGUUUCCUGCAAUUUAUGAGGAGCAUAAUAGGUAUGUUUGAUACGGAGGAAAAUAUUUUUUUGUAUUCUAGAAAAGUGUUUGAUACAAAGGAAAACAAUUUUUUGUAUUCUAAAAAAAAAAGAUAGGGUAAACUUCCGCUCCUAGGAAAUAGCUCGCAAACCACAUAGGAGAGGUAACUCAUACUUGGCAAGCCUGGUGCGACGAGCUAGACCCAGAAGGCAAACUCCUUGCUUUCGUUGACAAGGAAUUUCGUACCUGAGACCUUCAACAUGGAAGUCCCAAGCCUUAACCUCGAGUUUGUGCAACAUAUUUCAUACUUCAAUAACAUUUUUUUGUUUUUGUAUUUCAAAUUGCGCUAGCUGAUGUUUUAAAUGUUUCAUAUUUUAAUCUAAAAAUAUAAUCGUUCAAAUGACAUUUUUCGCAUUUAAAAGUAUCAAAGAUAAUUAAUUAAUUUUAAAACGUUGAUUAAAAUUUGAUUAGCCAUUCAAAAAGUGAUGGUUUGGGACCUUUCUUCAUGAUUUUAGUAGUAGAAGAGUCUGGAAAAGGAACCCAACAAUGUAAUCCAAUGUGAAAACUAUGUGUUAGAAGAGUAUUGAAAUGUGGUAGUUGGUGUAUGGAUGAAAAAGUUGUCAAACAAUAUAGUACAAAAUUCCAUGAUCGAUAGCGAGGUACGUACAAUUAUAUUAUUAUCGAAAAAAUAAUAAUGUAACGAAGUAACAUCAUGUGGUCCUAGAAAAUACCUUCAUCUUUAAUUUGAUGACUAAUAUAUGCAUUCAUAACAUAACACAGAAUAAAGAUGAAGUAUUUUUUAUUGGAGGAGUUGUACUUCAACUCAAUGUGAUUGGUAGCUUAAAAAAUCAAGCGAGUUUGAUGAAUUUACUAAUUUGCAUUCUAAUUAGAUUAAUUAUUACUCUAUUUUUAAUUAUCAUGUUGCGCUUUUCAAAAGUCAAUUUGUCUAAUUUCAAAGUUAAAUUAGAUUGCAUUAAUUUGAUAUUUUUUUUAAAAAUAAUUAGAUAUUCAAAAACUAUACGAAAAGUACUAUAAACUCCAAUUUUUUACACAUCAAUAUGAUGAAAAAAUACAUUGAAAAAUGUUAGUUAAAAUUAUUAUCAUUUGACUCUAAAAAAAAGAAAACUAGAACAAUUAAAAGUAGACGGAGGUAGAAAGUAGCUAGAUUAUUCUUAUGUAGAAUAAUUAACCUAAAUAGCAAUUCACCUAAUCUAAUUCAUAAUUUAAAGUUUGUUAAUUCUGAAUUUGUAGGUAUAUAUUUAAAGAAUUUUUCGAUAAAUAUAAUUUUUUUGAGUAAAAUUACUGAAUAUUUUAUCGAAAGCAUACAUCACAUGCUAGCUUUGCCCAUGUAGACACAUAAAUAUGUAUAAUCUAUCAGUACUCUAACUCAUUGUUACAUGUUGUUUACUUCCAUUGUCAAGUAAAUCAAUUCCCGGUAUAUUGUGUAUAUAAAAUAAUACUUUCUCUUUCAAUUUAUGUGGCAUUUUUCGUUUUUCGAGAGUCAAACAGUUUAAGUUUGAUCGAAAAUUUGCGCAUGAAAUCUUCAAUUUUUUUGAAAUGAAAUUUAUAUAUUUAUAAACUACGUAAAAAGUACUAUAAGUCACAACAAUUGAUAAUUUAAAAUGUUUAAAAGAUCUAUGAAAAAAUUUACGAUCAAAGUUAAACUUGUUUGAAUCUCAAAAUCCAAAAAAUGCCACAUAAAUGGAACGAAAGGAAUACUAUAUAUAUAGUUAAAAAUAUCUUUUAAAAAUAUAUGCUAAGAGUUUUAAAUAUCAUUAAGAGAAUUCCUAACUUUGUCAUCGAUAGCGUCAUGGCAAACAUGUUGGUGUCAGUUAAUUAACUUGAUAGAGUUGGCUGUUUGGUUCACAAAUAAGUAAUCUACUGGAACUAUAAUAUGAAGACUACAAUAUUAUGAGAAUUAAAUAAUAAUAAUACUAUUGAGUGGAUGUACUUCUUACUUUCUUUAAACAAAAUAUUAUUGAGUUUAUUAAUUAGAUUAAACAUGAUAUUCACAAAUUGAGGUAUAAUAAUAAAACAUGCACAUGUUUGGUUUUACAAUCGGUAAACCUAAACAAAUCCACCCCCCACUACCAACCCACCCCCCCCCCCCCCCCCCCGAUUUUAGCAUUAUAUUUGAAGGAACAACCAUGUAGAAGGACAUUUAUGAUAUUUUAUUUUUAAAAUAUCUAAUGAAGAAUCAUUUUCUCGAAUUGAAUAUGGUAUAAACAAAAUAUUAUUAUAUACUCCCUCAAUCUCAAGUUACACUUUCCUUUUUAGUCUUUUCGAUUUUUUUUUUUUAUAUUUAUAAUAUAAAUAAUUUAAUUUUAAUUAAUUUUUUAUUUUUAAUAAAAUAAUUUAUAGUUAUGUAAUUAUCUUAAGUUAAUUUUAGAUUAAAUUUAAAAAAUAUUUUUAAAUUUUAUUAUAUGAAUUAUCAAGUUAAAAUGUAUCAGAUAAAUUGGAACGAAACAAAGUUGGGCUGAACGCGUGGGGAGCAGCGUUGGGGCAAUAUUAGUAGUUGUGAGAAGUGAAAAGAACUCUGAACCAUUCUUUAGUUGCUGUGCGGCUGCUGGUUUUCGUGCAUAACAUCUCUAGCUUUUUGUUAGUCAUUUGUGUAAUUUGUUGAACUCGGAGAGUGGUUUAGGAAUUUUUUAAAGUGGAUUAAUUUUAGAGGACAUUUUGGAUGUAAAAAUAUUGAAGUAACCACAAGUCCGUAACAUCUUUGUUAGUUCUCUCUAAUUAUGAAAAUAUCCAAAAAAGUAAAGUCAUAUCAAUUCGUAUCAAAAUCAGCCGUGCCAAAUAUAUAUAUUAUACUCCCUCCCUCUGUUUCUAAUUAUUUGUUCAUUUUUCCUUUUUUAGUUAUCUCUAAUUACUUGUUCAUUUGUCACAUUUUGACAAAUCAAGAAAUGAUAGUUUUUUUUACCUAUUAUACCCUCAAUUAAUUACUUUGAAAAAAAGUAGAAAUUCUUCAAAAUCUUAAGUUUAUAAUGCAUCUACUUCAUAAUUAAUAGGGGUAAAAUGGUAAACUCACUAUAUUAAUAAUUAUUUUUUAAUAGGUAUGUCAAUUUAAAAGUAGACAAGUAAUUAGAAAUAUAGAGUAUAUAUAUAUAUAUCUUCUUUUUGGUGGAUUUGAAGAGCCAAAUCAAACUUUCAAAUCAAAAGCAGAUGGACCAAUUGAUAAAAACCAAGAAAAAAAUGGACCAAUUAAUGGUGAGUGUUCGAUUAUGAACAAAUUAAAGGAAACUCUAUCUCUAUCUAAUAUCAAAUUCUGGCCAAAUUUUCUUCCCAAAAAGAUUUUUCCAUAAAAUAAAUAUAUGGUGUCUCAUCAACCCUCUACUGGCCUGACAUGUGCCUCAUUCUCAUCAAUUGGUCUGACUCUUAGUUAUUCUUUCUAGUACGAACCAACCAACUAAACUUAUCUGAAAAUCAACUACUUGAUAUUUAUGAGUUCGGAGUCUAAAUAAGUCACAAAAAAAUAAAAAUAAUUAAAAUAAGUCAUUAUUUUAGUAAAUAACGAAAAUAGGUUUAGUGAAAGAAAAAAUUCUACUUUAUAUUUUAAUAUAUAGCGAAACUAUUUCUUACACAUUGUAAAACGGAACUAUUUCGUACACUUUAUAAAGUGUAAGUUUUUCUUACACUUUGUAAAGUGGAACUAUUUCUUACACUUUAUAAAGUGGAAGAAAAAAUUAUGUUUUAAGGAAUAUUUUUCACGUUUUGCGUACUCUUUAUGAAGCUUUUGCAGUGAUUGUCAUAUAAUUAUAUUGAUUUGACAUAUCAUAAAAAUGAAAAAAAUUAUUACAUUAUGUAUUUUUAUUUUUUUAUUCUGAAAACUCCUUCAAGAAAAAUCCUCCAAUCUCUAUUUAAGGAGGAUGUUCAAACAUAGUUGAUAGCACCUACAACAUAAAGUCUUCUAUAUUUGUUCAUUUCAAUCUCAAAAAAAAAAUGUCUUCUAAACCAAAAGUUAGAGUUUCGAUUUAUUGGGAUGGCGAAAUUAUACAUGACGGAAAUACCGUUUAUUAUAAUUGUCCUCCCAAACACAAUGCUAAAUAUUCAAUUAAUGUCCGAUAUCAUAAAUUUUUUUCAUCAAUUUAUAAAACAAUGGGUAUAAAUAGUACUGAUUAUAAUUUGAUUAUAGUCGAAAAAUACCCUACUUCAUUUUUAUCACAAGGACAAUUAAGUUUGGAGAGUGGAUUAUCUAUAAUGACGACCGACUUUUUGAGGGUUCCAAAUGGCUACAUAGAUCAAAUCAAGUUAACAAUACUUGAAAUCUAUGUUAGAAAGGAGCCUAAGACUAGCCAACAACGUUUUCCUUUAUCGGUCGAUGUCCAUCCCCGAUUAGAAAAUCGCAAUAGCUGUCACGCCCCGAGCCUACACCCUGGGCGGGACCGGCACUCGGAGACCAUUGCUGGCCCCAAGAGAACCCUUGGCCUGGCUUUCUUAACUCAGCGGAAACGUAACUUAACAGCACAACUCAAUGCAAUGAAAGGUUAAAAAACAACCAACUGAUGCAUAAUAUGCCAAAAGGCAGCUCGAGUCUCAAAAUAAAAUAUCUACAUAAAUACAUAGAUGAGAGACUCAAUACAACUGACUGACUGUUUGUCUAUGAAGCCUCUAANNNNNNNNNNNNNNNNNNNNNNNNNNNNNNNNNNNNNNNNNNNNNNNNNNNNNNNNNNNNNNNNNNNNNNNNNNNNNNNNNNNNNNNNNNNNNNNNNNNNNNNNNNNNNNNNNNNNNNNNNNNNNNNNNNNNNNNNNNNNNNNNNNNNNNNNNNNNNNNNNNNNNNNNNNNNNNNNNNNNNNNNNNNNNNNNNNNNNNNNNNNNNNNNNNNNNNNNNNNNNNNNNNNNNNNNNNNNNNNNNNNNNNNNNNNNNNNNNNNNNNNNNNNNNNNNNNNNNNNNNNNNNNNNNNNNNNNNNNNNNNNNNNNNNNNNNNNNNNNNNNNNNNNNNNNNNNNNNNNNNNNNNNNNNNNNNNNNNNNNNNNNNNNNNNNNNNNNNNNNNNNNNNNNNNNNNNNNNNNNNNNNNNNNNNNNNNNNNNNNNNNNNNNNNNNNNNNNNNNNNNNNNNNNNNNNNNNNNNNNNNNNNNNNNNNNNNNNNNNNNNNNNNNNNNNNNNNNNNNNNNNNNNNNNNNNNNNNNNNNNNNNNNNNNNNNNNNNNNNNNNNNNNNNNNNNNNNNNNNNNNNNNNNNNNNNNNNNNNNNNNNNNNNNNNNNNNNNNNNNNNNNNNNNNNNNNNNNNNNNNNNNNNNNNNNNNNNNNNNNNNNNNNNNNNNNNNNNNNNNNNNNNNNNNNNNNNNNNNNNNNNNNNNNNNNNNNNNNNNNNNNNNNNNNNNNNNNNNNNNNNNNNNNNNNNNNNNNNNNNNNNNNNNNNNNNNNNNNNNNNNNNNNNNNNNNNNNNNNNNNNNNNNNNNNNNNNNNNNNNNNNNNNNNNNNNNNNNNNNNNNNNNNNNNNNNNNNNNNNNNNNNNNNNNNNNNNNNNNNNNNNNNNNNNNNNNNNNNNNNNNNNNNNNNNNNNNNNNNNNNNNNNNNNNNNNNNNNNNNNNNNNNNNNNNNNNNNNNNNNNNNNGUCUUGCGACUCUUUACUUAGCUUGAAACUCUAAGCUCUUUGCUUGACUUGAAACUUGAGUCUUAAAAUGAAGUUAAGACGUUCAAUAAAGACUCUUGAACAACCUUGAGAACUUGCUUGACUUACUUCUUAACUCUUGAACUUAACUCUUGACUUUUAACUAACUCUCCUUGAAUUGGAUUUAUGGAUUCAAGGUGUUUGAUCACAUGUUACGGAUGAGUUCGGGAGGUUUAAAUGUACCUUAGAGUGUUGGAAACAACCAUACAACAUAGGUACAAUACCAAGAAACAUGCAUGGGAAGGUAGGAAAUGAAAUGGAUCACUUGGGGUCCUUGGCGCUCUGCAAGGCGCGUAGCGCCAGCCCUAAAAAUUCAGAGGGGUCUUGCUGGCGCUCUGAUAGGCGCGGCGCCCCAAGGGGGAAAGUUCAGAACCCCUUCUGGGGCGCGCUGGCAGGCGUGACGCGCCAACCCCCUCUCCCAGAAACUCGACAUUUCUCCCUCUUUUCUUCAACUCUAAACCAUCCUUACUUCAAUGGAUCUAACCCCAAACACUAAGGAUCAUCAAUCUCGCAACAUACAAUAGAUUACAACUCAAAUACACAACCCAAUCAUGUCCCACAACUAACAAUAAUUUCAACAACAACAACUAACCACUUCAACAACUUCCACAACUUCAACAACAAAUUCAAUCUUUUCUCAAAUCAUAAAAAGGAGCUUGGUGUGUGGGGGAAAGGAUCCACCCACACAAAGAACUCACAUACCUUGAUAGGGAUCACCCCCAACGAAAAUCCACGAUGAUCUUGACGAACCUUGUUGCUUGAUCUUCUCUUCCUCCUCUUCUUCUCUUCUUCUUCUCUUCUUCUUUUCUUCUUCUUCUCUCAAGCCCUAGCUUUCACUCUUUAAAAUGGGACAAAAAAUGAUCCACAAUCAGCCCAACACAAAAAUAUAACCUCAAAAGAAAUAGCUAGGGAAAAGACCAAAAUGCCCUUAAAUGUCCGGACGGAUUCCCUGCCAACUGCCCAACUUUUAAAGGACUUAACUCACUCAUACGAACUCAGAAUUGAGCAAACUCGGUGGCGUUGAAAAGAUCAAUCCAAGGGCUUUCCAAAAAUAACUGGAACUACUCCUAACUCAUCCUGAGUUAGGAGUUAUGACCGCUCAAAGUUGGCCAAAAACUCACUGAUUUCCACACUUAACCAAAUUUCCAGAUUUUCAUUUUUAUUCCAAAAUUGACUAUUUUCGAUUUUUAAGCCUCUUCAUAGAUAUUUCAAGAUGUUACAAUAGCGUUGAUGGAUUUACGAUAACUCAAUCUACUGAUUUUUCUAACAUGACUCAUUAUCAAAAUAUUCUUUUCUAUCGAUAUUAUUUUGAUUUGAACGAAACUAUAGUAAUGCUCAAUAAUUAUAUUUUGAUUAUUAUUUAUUAAUUUAUAUGAUUUAUUAUUCUUAUUAUUAUAUAUAUUAUAGCGGUUUACCUCAGAGAGAUAGGAAUAUUGCUCCAAGUUAUGGACUAGAUAAUUAUUUUGAUCAAUCCUCACACUUUGAAAUGACGAAAAAUGUUGGGACAUCCUCAAAUUUUCAUGUCUCGCCUACUUUUGAUGCAGAUGAUUAUCAAUAUAUCUAACACUUGAUUUUUUAUUUAAGUAAGUUAAUUGCAUGAGACAAAUAUUUAUACUUUUUUUCUACAUAUAUAGGGAAAAUAUCACACAAGAUGAGCCCAUUGAUCCUGUGAAUAUCGAUGAUCAUGACCUUUCAAAUUAUGCCUCACCUUCAGCUAGUGAUAGUGAUGAUUUGCCUAAUGCUAAGGAAUAAGGAGAUAAUGUUCCAUUUGAGGCAUCAUCUAGUGAUGAUGAUUUUUUUAUGCCCAAUCGAUCGCCAAGACCAAUGUCCAUGAGUCCGUUUCGUAAUCAUGAAAUUCCUUAUCUUGAUCAUCUCCCAGGUGGUCCAGAUAUCUUUGGCGAUACACAUGAUGAAUAUACAUCACAAUGUACGUGGUAUGAACCAGAAGAUUUCAUGAAUGAUGCUAUUUAUAUUGAAAAAUGCAUGUUAUUCAAUUCAAAGAAGCAGUUGCAAAGAGCAGUUAAGCUUUUACGUUUAAAGAUAGUGAGGGACUACUUUGUUAUUAAAUCGACAAAGAAAUCAUGACGACUUGUUUGCAGGCAUGUAGAACAAGGAUGUCGAUUUAGGCUGACUUCUUUUAAUGAUAAAACAUACUAACAUGUGGAAAGUUGGAAGAUACAUUAAAGAACAUACAUGUGAUAUGGGUACGUGCCGUGAUGGACAUUUUAACUUGGAUGUUGAGAUGAUUGCUAACGUCCUCCGUGUUGAUAUAAGGAAAACGCCAAGGUACUUAUUUUAUCCUUAGAUGAUUUUUCUUUAAUAAGAAAAUAUUUAUUUUUUUAUUUGAUAAUUAAUAAUAUUUUUACUUUUCAGGUUUUCCAUCAAAGACUGUCAAACAGCCAUUCUUAAAGCAUAUGACAUUUCGAUAAACAGAAGAAAAACCUAUCUUGGUCGCAAACGUGCUUUUGAAAAUGUCUAUGGUACUUGAGAGGGUUCUUUUGCCGAGUUGUCGAGGUUCAUGAAAGCUUUGAAACACUUCAAUCCUGGAACAAUAGUUGAAUGGAAAACAGAGCGGCGUGUCAAUGUCAUUGAAGAUGUUUUCAAAUAUGUGUUCUAGAGUUUAAAACCAUGCAUUGAUGGGUUUGUGUUGUGUCGUCUUGUUAUAUCGAUCGAUGGAACACAUGUCUAUGAAAAAUAUGAUAUCAAGUUGUUGAUGGCGAUUAACCGCUUCGUAUACAAAUAAAAUUAUUAUUGAUUUACUUUUAUAUAAUUUACUUUUAUAUGUAAUUUAUAUUUAUUAAAAAAAAAAACUAGUAAAGAGUUGCAAAAAUUAUUUGAUGUACCUGAUCCUCCGUCAUGCGGUUUAGCUGAUCUCUAAUUGGGAUAAGAACAUGAUGUGACUCAGUAUUCCUAUCAAUUUCACGCGUCCAACGCCUAGCAUGUGGAAGUAAUGCGUCACCAUCAUGUGGCGGAGGAGCUGAUGAUUGUACAAGCAAGAUCCUCUCCCAACACCAAACCUUAAUGUGACAAACAAAAUAAUUAAACUAUCAUUAGUAACAAAAAAAAAUUAACAAUUAUAUAUAGAGCAACUUUCACAUAUAGCAAACAUAAAAUCAUAUUUGUAUAAUAAGAUCUGUAUUUGUAUAAUUAUAAGUGUAUAUGAUGAAAAUAUAUGUAUUUGUAUUUGUAUAUACAUUUUUCUCUCGCUUUAUACAAGCACAAACACAUUUUAUACAUUUUAUACAGAAAUGUAUAAAAUGACUAAUUGUAUAUCAAAAAUGGCUAAUUGUAUACCGAAUCAUAUGGCAAAAAGAGGGGAUGUUUGUUGCGAAUUACAAAUAAAAUAAACUAUGGCUAUAACAUUUAAUUUGAAUUAAUAGUUUGCUAUUUCAUACAAUUUUUCCUUAUAUAUAUAUAUAUAUAUUUUAUUUUUUUUAAUAGUUUUUAGAAAUUAUUUGUAUGCAAUUUAAAUAUUUUAAAAAAUUGAAUAUAGAAAAUAUAUUCUUGUACGGGGUAAUGUUAAAGAUUCUUUGUAUUUGAAUGUAUUUUAAAAGUUUAGUGAAGUUACCUGAAGGAGAGGAAUAAAUCCGCAAAUGUCAACCACAUUAUCGAUAGAUGCCCGACAAAGUGCACGGUACAAGUAGGCCAACACUGCAUUGCCCCAACUGUACUUACCUACGUCGUGGAUGGUAUCUACAAACGCCAAGUAUUGUAAGGUAAUAAGGUUCCCCGACGUGUUCGGAAAUAAGAUGCCCCCCAAUAUAACAAACAUGUAAAGUCUAGCAAUCUUCUCAACCCGCUCCACUGGAGUAGCAUCUCCUAUCGAAUCUACUUGUAACUGAUCUUGCAAGUAGCCGGUAAUGCUAUGUAUCCUCACCCGACUCACAUUAUCCAUAUCAGUAGGUGCUAUGGCGCAUCCUGUGAGUGUCUCUAAUAAAGUACGCCAUGGACGAAUCCUCCGUGCAGCAUCCUGCAUGUACACAUCAUCACCAUGGAUGCGCAAACCAAAUAAGACCUGCACAUCCUGCAAUGUAAUCAUGACCUCACCAAAAGGUAAGUGGAAGCAAUAAGUCUCUGGCCUCCAAUGCUCAACCAUAGUUGUAGCAAGGGCACUGUCAUACUUCAUCUUGCCCACACAAACUACAUCAUACAGUCCGAACCUACGUAAGAUCUCCUCAAUUAUUCCAAUAGAUGGUUCCUUUUUAACCUCUCCCUAUUUGUUGCCAUUAUCAAUCUUUAUGCAACAUUUUUCAUGGGGAAAAACAUAUAUUCACUUUAAGACAUUAUGAUAUAGCUUGGAAAAUAUAUAAUGACCUUAUUUAGGUUCCGGACUCUACAUGAUGUAAUCGUAAGGACUCUCAAUUAUUAAAUAUAAAAAAAAACAUGAGAUGGAAAAGUGUAAUUCAACAGUAGCGAAAUACUAUUUUUACAAUACCAAUCCAACAGUGUAAUUCCUUUUGUUUCUUUCGAAUUAAAGACUUCUUUUUUCUAACUCAAUAUUUAGUAAUUGAAUGCACAUUGUAUAAGGCUUGCUGAAAUUUUGAACAAAUUACAACAUCAUUUCAAAGUAAUGAAAAUAUGAGAUAGGAAAAAAAACAACCUAAUUUAUAUAAUUUGUAGGGUCGGAUUGUUAUGUUGUCGGGUUGUGCUACUCCAAUCUUUCAAGAUUUUGAUUUUUUAGUGUGGGGCCGCUUUAGUCGGAUUGGGACCAUCAAAUGUUAAUCUUCAAAGUGAUAAAACGUUUGGAAGCCAUGAAAGUGAAAGGGGAGAAGAAGAAAGUGAAAAGGUUAAGUAACUUUUUAUAAAGUGUAAGAUUUUCUUCCACUUUAUAAAGUGUAUGAAAAAGUUCUACUUUACAAAGUGUAAGAAAAACUUACACUUUAUAAAGUGUAAGAAAUAGUUACGUUAUAUAUUAAAAUAUACACGUUAUGAGACUAAUGGAAAACGUUUGAAAUAUUGGAUAAAGUGAAUUUUUUUCUUCCACUAAGCCUAUUUUAGUUACUUACUAAAAUAGGGGCUUAUUUUGGUCACUUUUAUCUUUUUGUGGCUUAUUUAGGUUCCGGACUCGAUAUUGAUAUUCAUACAAAAGAGAAAUGGCAGAAUCUUAUUUCAUACAUGUUUUCGUUAAAAUUAAAACGUUUCAAUGUAUAUUUUAAUAUUAAGAUAUAAUUAAAAUAUAAAAAUUUGAAUCUAAUAAAUAUAUCAUCAGAAUAUUAAGAUGUUACAUUACAAUCUAAAUACUAAACAAUGUAUAUUGUUUUUCCAUACUAACAAUUGAUGGACAAUUAUAUAGUAUAGUUACUUUCUCUCUCUAUAUAUAGUUGGAACGAACGAAAAAACUCGAAAUUGGAAUGUAGAGUUGGCUAACAAAUAUUGUGAUAGAUUGCCAAAUAUACUAUAUGUCUCAUUUAACUUGGUCUCAACCUGUCACAUCAAAUUAAUUAUUUUUUUCGUAUCAAUUUUUCGGAUGCACUUUGAUUGAAUAUAAAUUUAUUAAGAAAAAAAGGACAAAAAUUUUAAAUUUUAUAACUUAAGAUAAAUCAUGAGAAUUUGUAUAACUAUAUAUAAAUUAUCACAUUAAGAAAUAUUGUCAUUUUAAAAAGAUACAUCACAUUAUUUGGAACAAAAUGGACCAACUUUCAACUCAAACACGCCCAAUUGGCACUUGGCAGUAGAAAUGUGGAGGAAUGGACAAAGAAGAGGUCAUUUAAUUUGAAUUUAAUUUUCCCUCAUUCACAUGGCUCCAAUUAAUUAACGGCGCAAAUGUUCAUUAGAGAGAAAAUGAAAGGUUAAUUAAUGAGUAAGACUUAUGAUUGACAAAAAUGGAGCUAAAUUAUCAAAACAAAAUCUUGCUUACACAUAUAUCUAAGUGGUAGGCACGAUUCUAUGAAAGCUACACAUUUCUUACUUAUUUAUUGGAUUAGAUUUAUAUUUAUAAUCACUAUCUCCAAUAUUAGUUACCACGUUGCUUAAGGGACCAGUAAUUGUGUUUCUCAAUAUCAUUCAUUACAUUCACAGUAUUUGUAAACUAAAUUUACAUGUUAACCCUCGACCAAUUAAUAUUGCUUCAUAUGGUUAAUGGUAGACUAGAAACCAUCUAAGGAUGUGGCAUAGUGAAUGCGUCUGUUUUUCUCUUAGCAGAGAGUGCUUUUCUCGAAUGAGGCCUAUAUAAUACGAAUCUAGAUUAAUUGGGCUUCAAUUCGUAUACCAUACACUUAAUGAAGAACCAAACAAAAUGUGUAUUAAAGAAAUGUAUCUUGGGCGUAACUUAAUUGCAAAGCCAACUUAAUAAGGAGAAGAUUGUCAAAGACUAUAUAAGAAAAUCAUAUCUCAUCCUUAUCAUCCGAUAUAAGAUUAUUCAACAACACUUACUUCAUUCCGUUAGAUAAAGUGUGGAUAAUUUAACAUGGGCACUCAAUAUCGAUAAAUAAUAUUGGAAUGAACUAUAUUCAGAAACCAUAUAAAGAAAUAAUUUUUGAAUCUAAAUCAAAAUAAAAAAUUAAUUUAUUAAAAACUAAAUUAUUCAAAAUUAGAAAACCACUCAUUUUUUUUCCAUUCAACGUUGAACUCUCCCACAGUUUUUUGAGGUAGUUUCAAAACUAAAGCAAUAUAAUAAGAUGGUUAUUUAAAUUCCAAAUUAAAAUAAAUGGAUUUGCUGGUUGAACUCGAUUGGCACCUGUUAUAAAGUGAUUACGACUUGGGUAGCUUUCAGGCAGACAAGACGAUCUAAUAUAAGAUUUUUAAUUAAUUUAAAUAUUGUCUACAUUUUUAUACGAUCAAUAUAGUCUAAUAUAAUAUAUAAUUUACACUUAUUAUGUUUAUUGGGGUGAUCAAUUGUUAUUAAUUUAUCAUUAAAAUGUUUAUGAUUUUAUGUUUUAGUUACAAGUAGCUUAAUGGUAUAUAUUAUUUUAUUUUGCACUGUUACGUCAAUAAUCAAUUAGCACCAUAUCUGAUCUACUGUUAAUGCGAGAUUGUAGAUUCGAGCGGAUAUCAAACACCUAAUGAAAAAAGUGGAAAAAAAUGUCUAAAAACACCAUGUUUUGCUUUUUCUUUUUUUAGGAGGGACGGUGGACAGAAAAAGAAAAAGAAUAUUUUUGAGAAAAUCAAUCGUCAUUAAAUGUUGAUAUUCUAUUGAUCAAUACACUAUCUUAUCCAAUCUAAUUCGAUUCCUUUUCUCUUAAUUUUGUUGAUGAGGAAUAAAAAAAAAUGGUUUAUAAUAUUGUCAAUUAAGCUCAUGAGUACGGGUGGAGCUAUAUGGGGUUCGUGAGUUUGGAUGAAUCUACUAAUUUUUUCGUAGAUCCUAUAUUUGUAUUAGAAAAUUAAAUAAAUAUAUAUGUAUAUUAACUUGUGAACCCCAUCAAAAAAUUGAUUGACAGCACAACGAUAAAAAAUGAACGGUGAAAAUAUUUUUCCCUAGACUCUUAAUCCUGACUCCGCUUUUGCUCAUGAGAAACAGGUAGAAAUCCCAAACCCUUUUUCUUAUAUCUGCCAAUUGUCAAACUACAUAUCCAUUUUAGGUAAAUGAGCAAAUCACUAAUAAUUAAUUAUUCUACUGUGUAACAACAUUAGUCGUCUUUCUUGGCAUAUUACAUUACAACCCUUCUAGAAACAGUUUAUUAGAUUAAUCGAGGUUAUUUUGGAAGUUUUUACGGAUUGGCAAAUCAAGUUGUUUAAAUUAGGUAUUGAAACGGGUUAUUACAUUUAAUUAUUAAGAGGGUUACAUCAGCUUUUUUCGAUCAAAAUGUGCAUUUUUCAGCCAGGUUUAUAUUUACCUAGUCUUUUGUUAGACGAUUUUUUUAAUGUGAAAAGUGACUUUGGUGUUAUAAUAUCUCUCUCUAUAUAUAUGCACUUUUAAGGACAUAAUAUUGUGUUUCCAUGUAUGCAUGUACCUACAUUUUUUCAGAACAUAUUAAAUACAAGCAUAAUUAAUAUAUAAUUACGGUCUAUGGUAUAAAAGUUGGAUAAACAUGUAACAAUGUUUUUCGACUUAUAUAUAUCAUUCAGAUAUUCCUAUUCAAGAUGAUAUACAGCUAUAUAUAUGUACCUACCUGAAAAAUUAUAUUACACAUAGAAUAAUCUUUUAACAAAUAGUAUUUUUUUAAUACUAAUUCAGAAUUACGGGUAUGAGUCACUUUUCUAGAUCAUCACAAAGCAAAACGUAAUCUUCAAUCCCGAAAAAGACAUAUAUUGACAUAUAUCAAUAUUUAUUUCUUUAUAUGGUAAAAGCAUAUAGUCUUAAAAAUCUAGCUAUAUACGUACCUAAAUUAAAUGUCCCUCUCUGAGAGUGAGACAUACAUAUACAUAUACUAUUUUGAUAAUGAUUAAUAAGAGUUCUAAGAUAAUUAUUGAAGAGAAAUUUUGUCCUUGCCUAAAAAUUAUAAUGUUAAUCUUGCAUUCCUCAAUAAAUAUAUUGUUAAUAUAGUGAUAUAUAUGUGUGUAUUAUAAGUAUAUUUGUAAUAUCACAUUAUCUCAAUGUAAUAAUAAUAAUAAUAAUAAUAAUAGUGUAUAUAUCGUCAUAAAUAUUAGAAAAAUGGUUUCUUAAUUAAAAUAGGAAAAACACGUUAUGUAAGUGAAAUUGCAAGUUCAUUAUCUCUUUCUCGCCCAUUCUUUUGACAAUCCCAACUCCCACCAUCUCAACCUCCAUAGGUUUUGCUAGAUUAUAACGUAACAUAUAGAUACUCAGAUGAUUAUUUUUUUCUUACUUGCAAAAAAAAAAUGAAAAUAGUAAAUAAGAAACUCACUUUAUAAUAUUUUCCAUGAAAACCAGCUUUAUCUCCAUACCAAACAAACCCCAAGAUGAUGAAGUAAUAGUACAUAUGAUGACAUAUAUUGUUUAUUUAAAUUAUAAUUAAUCAUCACAUGAAAACCUUAAUUAUACCACCUUAGAUAUUCCAGUUUUUCCUUUGGUAAUUAUUGGUUGAGUUCAUUAUCAGAGGAUCUUCAAUAAUAUAAUUAAUUAAUUGGUUAAUUUGGCAGACAACCCUUAUCUUCUUUCUCCUAAAUUAGUUCUUUUCUCUUUAGUUAUUUUUAUUUUAAGGUUCUGUCGUUUUAUAUUCAAGCCAUUAUUGUCUCACCAUCUUAUAUACUUUUAUCUGUUCACUUUUACUUGUUCAGUAUUUUGAAUAUAACAUUUUCAUUUUGCCAAAAAUAGAUUUCCAAAGCCUAAGACUAUAUAUACAUCAAUUAAUAUGAAUGUUAUGUUAAAAUAUUUAUAUCAAUCAUUAUUUUUAAUGGACAUACGAGAUUCAAAGUGAAUAAGUAAAAGUGAACCGGGAGAUCAAAGAGUAACUUAAAUCCUUUUAUUAUAUAGGUAGUAAUAUUUAUUAGGGUUUUGAGGACUGCCAGCAUCAAAGUGUAACAUUGAUUAUGUCCCUAAAUCUUUCCACUAAUUUAAAAGUACAGCUCUGUUUUAUGUUGCAUUUUUAAAUUAUUUUUUUCUUCUUGGCUUGCUAAAAGUAGAUAGCAAUAUGUGGCAUACUACUAUAUUUAGAUAAUGUGAAACCAACCAGAAUUGAACACAUAAAAGCAAAUUAAUAAUGAAAGUUUCAGCAAAUACUGGAAAAGGAUUAUUAUAAUUAUUAUGUUAUUAUAUAUAUAAAAAUAAAUAAAAGUAUAUGUUUAGCUUAAGUUUGAAAUCAGCAUCCAAAACUUGACACGUGUUGACGUGGGUACCAAAAUUAACACAAAAAAAGAAAGUGGACUCUUGCUGGAUUAGGUUUCAACUUUCAAGUUUGAAAGUCUUCUCCAAAUCCAAGGAACUAAAUACUAAAUUCGUAGAAUAUUUGCUGCUUUUAGGGCAACAAAAUUUAAAGUAGAUACUUUUGAUGACUAAUAAUAAUUUCUUCCAACCAAAAAUCAACACAUCCACCUCAUUACUUUCCUAGAAUAGUAUUAUUACCUGACCCUAAUAAUAAUAGUCAAUUUAAUCAAUCUUCUCGAAAGUGCAACUUACUUAUUUCUAAAAAUAAAAUUGAUUUAGAGAGUUGAGGUGUUCGAUCGAAUUUAUAAAAGUUUUUGAAUGGUAGUAAAACUGUUUUUCAAAAACUAAAAAAGUAAAUAUUUCGAAUUACUUUGGAAUCAUGACCAAGUUCAACAUAGUUUAAUUAUAAAAAAGUAAAAAGUAUUUUUGAAUUUGAUUAGCCAAAGAAAAAAACAAAAUAAGCGGAUUCUCAAGUUUCACCUAACGACUAUAACUUAGUAAUAAGUAUUACCAUGUUGUAACGACCGGGAUCCGCGAUUUCGUCGUUAUAGAAAAGUCAACGGGAAAAUUUUUUGGGUCGGAAAACUUUUUCGUAGUAACUUGGAAUUUCCCAACCUAAUCCAGAUUUGGACGAAAUCGGAGUCGUUGAGGUGUAGGGAAAUCUGGUAGCAAUCGAGUGACUUAUUUAUGAUUUUGAUUAUAUGAGUAGUUAGAUAAGUCGUUAAGGAAUCCGUACGACUUUACGGAAUUGAAUUCGGGUGAGUAGAACUCCCGGAAUCGAUCUUAGCGUGAACGGUAUUUUCUGAGCGUCGUUGGUUGAAGGUGUGUUGUGGAAUGAGCGUCUUGGAAUUAUUAAAAUAGCUCACUGUUUCGUGCAAGCCGCUUUGGCGGUGGUUUUGGUCACUCUGGCGGUGCCGUUGUAGUGGGGUGAGGGCCCCUGUGGCAGGCCAGACGCGACUUAAAGUCGUAAAUAAACCCCAAAACGACUUUAUUCUGCACUUUUUGACUUUGAGAGCUAGGAGACGACCUCAUACGAGUUAUUGACCGUUUUUCACCAUUCUUGAAGCUAAAGGUAAGAUUUUAACUCCUCGAAUCUAUUUUUCGAUCCGUAGAACGUAAUCUAAUAGGUAAAUAUUGAUGGGGGAGGGUUUUGAUCCAUAAUCUAUGGUGGAAGCAACCCUAAUUGGGAUAAUUGGGAUCAAGGGUUUGAUCUAGGGUUCAUAAAAUUGUUAGUAAUCCGGGUAAUUAGUGAUUGUUUAUUGAUUCCCGUAUUAUAUUGAUUGUUGUAGACCAAGUACAAGCGGAACAAAUCCGAAAAAGGAAGGAAUAAGUUUCUUAGGGUUUCAAAGCUUGUUUCGAGGUACGUGAUGGUUGUGAUUCUAUGAUUGUGUGAUGUAUGUGUGUUCUUGCUUCAUUAUGAUACUUGUAUGUAUGUGAAUGUUGCAUUAUUGAUCACGCUUGUUGUAAAUGAGAUAGAGGAUUGAUGAAUGCCAUGAAUCAUGACUAAAUUGUAUGAACUUGAGAAGAUAGUUGUGAUUGUGAUUGUGAUUGUGGUAUGUUGAAUGGAUCCGUUGCCACGUUCCGGCAUAACUAAUUGGGAUAUGUUGCCACGUUCCGGCAUAAUUAUGGGAUCGAUUGUCACGUUCCGACAUAAACAUUGGAUCGGGUACAACAUUUUGGCAUAAGCAUUGGACCGGGUACCGCAUUUCGGUAUGCUAACAGUUUGGGUUUGAGUUCCAUAAGAGGACCAAUGACUUGUCAUAAUUGUGUAUCUUGAGAAAUUUUAAGUUGUUUGUUGUUCAUAAAUAAUGUUGAUAAUAUUAUAUAUGUUCGAUAUAUGUAUGUGGUUAUAAUGUUGUAUUGACUUGCUUAUGUUACACUUAGUGGGAUAACCGCGUGAUCCUACCAGUACACUGUGGUUGUGUUCUGAUACUGCACUUGCUCUUAUUUUUGUUGAGUACAGGGCAUCUUCCGGCGGCUAUUGACAGGCCUCGCUUAGAAGAUCAGUGAUCAUCGUUCGAAUUCAAGGGUGAGCCAAUUCUUCCGGGCUGCCAUGGGUUCUCUUUCGUCUAUGUCCAUAUUUCGGACUUAGACUUUUCUAGUUAGUUAUUAGUGCAUUAGUUUGGGGUUGUAUCCCUUCUUGUUUAGACUUGUUGUACUUUAGAUGUUUUGGUACAUUGACUUUCAGGUUGUAGGUGUAUUUUCCGCAUUGUUUAGUUGUUCGAUCUUUCGAAAGUUUAUGGAAACUUCAGUCUUUAGCUAUUUAACUUGCUUCCGUAACUUAAAUGCUUUAGUUUUUGGUUUAGUUGCUUGGUUUGGGUUGUAGUAGUGGUUCUCCCACUGAAGGGUUAGUGUGGGUGUCAAUCACGACGGUCUGAAUCGUGACACAUGUUCAAGCAUUUUUAUAUUUGAAAAUAUUUGACGGUAGAUAUCUCAUUUUAUACCUUAUGAGUAUUCCCUUUGUUCCAAAUUAGUAGUCAUUUUAGCUUAAAAAGCUUAUCACUUCAGAAAUUUAAGAUCGAAGUUGAUAAUAAUUCCAAUUAUAUUCUUAUAUUAGAGUAGUAAAAUAAUAAUCAAUACUGUUCAAUACAUAAAACAUUUACUAAUCAAUAGGGAACUUUACAUUAUAUUUAUUAUUCUCUUAAUAAAUAAUAUGAAAGAGCUAGUAAAAUGAGAUGAAGGAAAUGACUUUUAUUAUCAGACAAAUAUAAUGGCAUAUUUAAAUACGGAACCAUACUAUACCACACACAUUAUCACGGAGGGAUUACUAUACUCCCUUCGUUCAUUUGUACUUGUCCAUAUUUUAGAUAUCUAAAUAUUAAAAAACAUUUAAUAUCUAAUGUAAUAAAGAUAAGAACAACUUUCACAUAUAACAAACACAAAAAUCAUAUUUAUAUGUUAUAGCUAUAGUUUGCAUAAUUGCGCUCCAUAGCAAACACAAAAAUCAUAUUUGUAUGUUAUAGCUAUAGUUUGCAUAAUUGCGCUUCAUAGCAAACAUAAAUAUGUAUUUUUCGCUAUACAUAUACAAAAGAAAGCAGUUGUAUAAUAUGCUUUGGUAUACAUAUACAAAAGAUCAAUUGUAUAAUCUGUGUUUGUAUAAAGCGAGAAUGAAAGAAAGACAAAAGAAAACU
rnacentral:lncRNA from 1 species